UCUUUACUCCAAUGCUAUUUCUUUGAACAAAGACCAAGCAUCGUCAUCAGACAAGCCUUUCAGAACAUAAGGCUGACAUUUACUAGUAAUCUUUGCUACUCUCAAAGAGCGAGUAGUUACUAUGAUCCUACUUCCUUUAGCCCCACCUACUAAUAACUCUUUUAAACUAACCCAUUCUUCCCACUCCUCAUUCCAAAUGUCAUCCAAAACAAGCAAAUAUUUUUUCCCACCGAUUUUUCCUCGAAGUUGGUUUUGCAAUUGAUCCAUUUCGAGUUUUUGAUUUGGUGCUUGGCCAGUUGCAGAUUUGAUAAUGUUUUCUACAAUUAUUUUGACAUCAAAAACAUCUGAAACGCACACAAACAUCAUCAACUCAAAAUGAUUUUUGACCAUUUCAUCAUUAUACACAAACUGCGCCAAAGCAGUCUUCCCUAACCCUCCUAACCGAACAAUAGACAAUACCAAAGUCACUCCUAAUAUAACAACAACAACAACAACAACAAUUACAAUUUUGAAUCUAAGAGAAGUCUGUUGGUGCAACAAUAGAAUCAAGCAGACUCAGCAAGUAUCUUGUCGAGCAAGCCUCGAAUCUUGCUGAGCAAACAAACAAUUUCGAGUUAAAGAAAGAAGAAAAUAAGCUGGGGAAAUUUGAGAGAAUAUUGAUGAACAAAAACUAAUUUGAUUCAUGCAUAAAACAAUGGCUUGAAGCCAGUACAUAACUCAAGCAUAAGGCUUGUCAAAAUCAACAAGUAAUUACCUACCUCCACUAAUUACAUAGAAACUUGAAAUCUUAGCUUGUAAACUUAUACAAAAGUGUGUUUACAGCUCAUACAUAAGCUAAUUACAUCAAUCAGAAAGCUAACUUAGUUAGAAAUGAACUAACACUCAUUUCAUCAACUAAAUAUAACAAAAUGAACAAAAUGAGCUUGCAUCAGCAGCCCUUGCAUCUGUUCCAGCUUUGCUUGGUCUUCAUGGCCUGUAUGGAAUCGAGUGUUGGCUUCAUGCUGACCAACUUCAACACUCCUCCUUGGUUAGCAUGGUGCAAACACCUAAAUUUUCUUCUUAAAUGCUCAAACCUUGUGACAUUAAGGGCUUUAGUCAAAAUGUCUGCAAGCUGGUCCUCUGAAUUGCAGUGAAUUAGCUUCACUUCCUGAGCUUGCUCCAUUUCUCGAACAACAUAUAGCUUAAUGCUAAAAUGCUUUGUUCUUCCAUGGAACACAGGAUUUUUGGCAAUUGCAACAGUAGAUUGAUUGUCACAGAAGAUCUCUGUUGCUUCCCUUUGAUCCAUAUUCAAAUCAGCCAGGAUUUUCCUAAGCCAAAUGGCUUGGUUGACAGCACUUGCUGCUGCCACAUACUCUGCUUCAGCAGUAGAUUGUGCCACCAGACUUUGCUUCUUCGAGCUCCAGCAGAACAUAGCUGAACCAAGGUUGAAAGCAUACCCUGAGGUGCUUUUCAUGUCAUCUAUCGAUCCAGCCCAGUCACUAUCAGUGUACCCAACUAGAUUUAGAUUUCCUUUCCUGCUGUACCUUAAGCCAUAGUCCAAAGUGCCUUUGACAUAUCUGAGCACUCUCUUGGCAGCCUGGAAAUGCUUCUCAUUGCAACAAUGCAAGAACCUUGAGAGCAAUCCUACAGCAUACAUUAUGUCUGGUCUAGUGGCAGUUAAGUAUAGCAAACAACCAACUAGACUCCUGUAGGUAGUUUCACAUACCUUCUCAAAGUCUCCUUGGCUCGAUAGUUUUUCUCCAACAGCAACAGGUGUUUUAGUUGGUUUGCUGUUUUGCAUGGAGAACUUGGUCAGAAUCUUUGUGGCAAAGCUCUUUCUGACUUAAAAAAUAUCCCAUUCUGUGCUUGAGUCNNNNNNNNNNNNNNNNNNNNNNNNNNNNNNNNNNNNNNNNNNNNNNNNNNNNNNNNNNNNNNNNNNNNNNNNNNNNNNNNNNNNNNNNNNNNNNNNNNNNGAUCAGACAUUUCAAACACCUCUUGCAUCUUGGUCUUGAAAUUAACCAGCACUGCUCGAUCUCCUCCUGUCACCAGCAGGUCAUCAACAUAUAGGGACACAAUGAGUUGUGUUUGUGUCCCUUGCUUCUUAACAUACAGUGUUGGCUCACUCUUGCUUCGAUUGAAUCCCAGAUCAGUCAAGUAUCCAUCGAUUCUGCUGUACCAGGCCCUUGGAGCCUGUUUUAAGCCAUAUAGGGCCUUCUUCAAUUUGUAGACCAUAUGCUCUCUCCCAGCUGUUUCAAACCCUUGUGGUUGUUCAACAUAGAUGUCUUCAUCUAAAAAACCAUUCAGAAAGGCUGAUUUCACAUCGAGUUGAUGAAUUUUCCAUUCGAGCUGGGCUGCUAAGGCAAUCAGCAGUCUGAUGGUGUCGAGCCUGGCCACUGGUGCAAAGGUCUCCAGGUAGUCCAAGCCAUACCUCUGACUGAACCCCUUGACAACCAACCUUGCUUUCAGUUUGUUCAAGGUACCAUCAGCAUUUUGCUUGGCUUUGUACACCCAUUUCACCCCAAUCACCUUCCUUUUGACUGGCCUUUCAACCAAUUCCCAGGUCUGGUUCUUCUCAAUCAUGCUGAUCUCCUCAGCCAUUGCCUGCUUCCACUCUUGCUGAGCUUCAGCCUCUUCAAAGUUACUUGGUUCAGCUAUGGCUAUAUGAGCCCUUUCAUAAAUCUCAGUCAUUGAUCUUGUUCCUCUGACUGGUUCAUCAUCAAUGUCCAUUUCAGGAACACUUUGUUCUGGCUCAGCUUGGUUUGUUGUAAGUUCUUCAGAAACUUCCUCAGGUUCAUGCCUUUCCCAGUUCCAACAUGACCUUUCAUCAAAUACCACAUCCCUGCUUACUGACACUUUGUUUGUUGAAGGAUCCAAGAUCCUAUAGCCUUUCUUAACAGUGCUGUAGCCCACCAGAAGACCAGGUCGAGCCCUUUCAGACAAUUUGUCCCUUUUAACAGCAGGUACAUGUGUGUAACAUAUGCAUCCAAAGACCUUCAGAUGAGCCAGUGAUGGCUUGAAGCCAAACCAGGCCUCGAAUGGAGUCUUCUGAUCCAAAGCCUUGGUUGGAAGUCUAUUUUGAAUGUAUGUUGCAGUGUUAACUGCUUCUGCCCAUAGUGCUUUAGGCAGAUUCUUCUGAAUCAUUAAGCACCUGGCCAUAUCCAUUAAGCUCCUAUUCUUCCUUUCACUUACACCAUUCUGUUGAGGUGUAUAAGUGUUGGUAAGCUGGUGUUUGAUGCCUGCCUUAUCACAGAAGGCUUGGAACUGAGCUGAGGUGUACUCAGUCCCAUUAUCAGACCUUAUGGUCUUCAGCUUGCAGCCUGUUUCUGUCUCAGCAGCAGUUUUAAACUUCCAAAACACAGUGGCCACUUCUGAUUUCUGUUUUAAGAAGUAAAGCCAGCAAUAUCUAGAGAAAUCAUCAACAAACAGUAUGAAGUACCUGUUUCCACUUAGUGACUUAGUCCUCAUAGGGCCACACACAUCAGUGUGCACCAGUUGGAGUUUUUCAGAGGCUCUCCAGGCUUGAUUCAUGGGAAAUGGCAAUCUGGCCUGUUUUCCUAGCUGACACACUUCACACACAUCAUCAUGGUCCACUGAGUUGAUGAAGUUUUCAGCCAGGUCUUCUCUGACCAUUAGGGCCAUCGAUCUGAAGUUGGCAUGUCCCAGCCUUUGAUGCCACAACUUAGAUUCAUCUGAUGUGGCUGUGUAGGCAAUGUCUGACUUCUUUGUCCAGUCAACCACAAAGCUCUUAUCAGCCAUAGGGACUGCCAUCAGUUUGGAUCCACUUGGAUCACUGAUUUGGCACUGCUUGUCCUUGAACACCAUAGAGUAACCUUUCUCCAGCAAUUGAGCUAUGCUGAGUAGGUUUCUGUCAAUUUCAGGCACCAGGAGCACAUUUGAGAUCAUUUUGGCACCUGUGGGAGUGCAUAUCAGCACAUCACCUUUGCCUUCAGCUUGAAUAAAGUGCCCAUUACCAAUUUUGACUUUGGUUCUACAGUUUCUGUCUAAAGACUUGAAGAUUGCAGCAUCAGGUGUCAUGUGAUUGGUGCAUCCACUGUCUAGGAGCCAACCAGAUGAGAGCCUUUCCUGAGCAGCUGAGCAUGACACAGCAAAGACUUGCUCCUCUUGGUCACUGUCCUCCUUAGCUACUCGAGCCUCAGCUUUCAUCUGUUGAGACUGGUUCUGUCUUGUUUUGGUCUUGCUCUUGCAAACUCUCUCAACAUGACCCUUCUUCUUACAAUGCUGACACACAGCAUCUGGAUUGAACCAGCAUUUUUCUUCUGGAUGAAAAUCCUACCAAACGCAGNNNNNNNNNNNNNNNNNNNNNNNNNNNNNNNNNNNNNNNNNNNNNNNNNNNNNNNNNNNNNNNNNNNNNNNNNNNNNNNNNNNNNNNNNNNNNNNNNNNNNNNNNNNNNNNNNNCUCUAGAUACCAAUUGUUGGUGCAACAAUAGAAUCAAGCAGACUCAGCAAGUAUCUUGUCGAGCAAGCCUCGAAUCUUGCUGAGCAAACAAACAAUUUCGAGUUAAAGAAAGAAGAAAAUAAGCUGGGGAAAUUUGAGAGAAUAUUGAUGAACAAAAACUAAUUUGAUUCAUGCAUAAAACAAUGGCUUGAAGCCAGUACAUAACUCAAGCAUAAGGCUUGUCAAAAUCAACAAGUAAUUACCUACCUCCACUAAUUACAUAGAAACUUGAAAUCUUAGCUUGUAAACUUAUACAAAACUGUGUUUACAGCUCAUACAUAAGCUAAUUACAUCAAUCAGAAAGCUAACUUAGUUAGAAAUGAACUAACACUCAUUUCAUCAACUAAAUAUAACAAAAUGAACAAAAUGAGCUUGCAUCAGCAGCCCUUGCAUCUGUUCCAGCUUUGCUUGGUCUUCAUGGCCUGUAUGGAAUCGAGUGUUGGCUUCAUGCUGACCAACUUCAACACUCCCUAUUAUGUUAUCUUUAAAAGAGUGCGUUUGAUGCCUCUUUUUGGUCAUGAAAGAGGUUUCCAUGGGGCGGUCACGCUCUACCAAAUUGAACAUCUUGGCCUCACUUCCGAUCAAAGUUAGCCUCGCCUUAAUGGCCUUAAUUUGACGACCCAUUUUGAGACUGCAAGCAAACUGGUUUGAGCUUGAGAAGAAAAGGCGUACCUCUUUCGUCAGCUUGCUCCCACCCAAUAGAUCUUUCCGCAAAGCUUCGGUAGAGAAAUCAUCAAGCAAGUCAUCGGCAUCAUAAAGUACAUCUUUCAGCUUUUCAAGCCAAUCUCUGACGCGAUGGCUGGUCACAGAUCGCUCUUCUGCGUCAAGAAGCACAGCUUUGAUUGUGGAGACGGUGCUUUUGAGGUCGUCGAGGUCAUCUUUGACAUUCCACCACAGUCCAAUUUGAGAGAGAGUAAAGGAGCUCAAUUUAGUAAUAAGCUCUACGGCGAGGUCGAAAGCAAUUGCUUCGGCCAUUGCUGGUUCAAACUGAAAUCAAGCAAAAGAGUGUUUGGUUACUGCAAGAGGAGGACUAAAAUGAAAAUGAUUGGAACAAGAUGAAACACAGAUGUGGAUCCAUACACGCGGAGACUAAGAAUUUUUAUAGGUGUUACCAUCCACCCUGCAAGUAGUAUAAUUAAAUGAAAAUAAUGUUGAUUGGUGGGAAAUGUUUGACACAAAUUUGUAAAUGGAGACAAAGUUGGGAUGAUGACACUUCGGGUGCUCGCACAAUUACAUCAACUUGGGCAAAAUUUGUGAGUCUCGAUCCCUACAAAUAAUUGAAAUUAAUGAAAAAGCUAUGAAAGAAAAGAGAAGAAAGUGACAAAUCCCAUGGAAUCCAAGGUGUUUCGAUUGAGGCCAAUGCAUUCGAGUCUUAAAUUAAGUAUUUUAUUUCUAUUUGAGUUGGAAUUUAGUUCGUAAUUUAAUUUAACAAGAUAAAAAUAUAUAAUAUAUUACUAAACGCAAAUUUAAUUCGAUCAAUAGUUCAAAUUCAGCUCAAUAAUUAUCGAAUCGAAUUUAAAUUUAUUUAUAAUCAGUUAAAUUAUUAACAUUAAAAUCUCAUUUAGGCCUCUCCCCCCAUGAAAUUUAGCUUUAAUUUUUCCUUUUUAGUAACUUGGUAACAAUUAUUAUUAUCAUGUCUAUAACCAUAUAUAAUGACAAUUGUUACUAUAUCCAUUAUUAUUAUACUCUACUCUUAUUAAUAAUGUUUUUUAUAUUGAUAAGUCUUUUAAUUAUAUUUGUUAUUAAUUUUUUUAUAUACUAUUAAGAAUAAAAUAAUAAUAUGAUUUGAUUUUGUGUCAAAUAAGUGUCUCAUAAAAGUUUUAACCAUUUCUUUAUAUUAUUAGUGUGGAACUUUGAUGACGAAAAUCUCGAACACAUGAACAACAAUUUGAACAGAGAAAAGAAGAAAUAGGACAAGGCUCAAUUAUCUUUCUAUUCACCCCCUACUCUAUGUGCAAAUGAGUUUAAAGUAAAUGAACCUCAAGGAUACAUGAACCCUAGUAGCUAUGAGCGUUUUACAUUAACGAAAAUAGUCCACUAAGAACUAAACAGAGUAUAACAAGAAAAUCAAUUUUUAUAAAAAAUUUCAGCAAUAUUAUUUUAUAGAACAAUCUAAGAAUGGUAAAAUAUGGUAAAAUAUUCCUAAAUUAUGCUUGUAUCGAAUAUCACUAAAUUAUUAAUAAAUUUAUAUUUUAAUUAUUAAAUUUUUAUUUAAUGCACGUGCAGUUUAUCUUAUUAUUAAAAUUGUUGAGAUAGGUGAAAUGUGUUUAUCAUCAGUUCUUUUAUUAGUUUAACUUUUAUUAUUGUUAAUCCUAGUGGUGUUUAUGAAUUGUUAUGGUGAGAUACUUUUUUAUUGUUAAUACUCUAGUGUUUAUGUGUUUUUCUUUUUAUUAUUUUUAUUUUUUAGAGUAAAUAUCAAAAUUAUUUAUGAACAUUAUUGUGAUGUGUGAUUUGUAAUUUGAUACAUAAAUUUUAAUUUUGUAUAAUUAUAUAAAUAAAACUUUAACUAUGAUUCAAUUGUAUAUAUGAAAAUGCAAAUGUUAAAACACACCUAUAUUACCCGUAGAGUUUAUAUAAUAUUUUAAAGAUGCCACCACCCACCAACCCACUAAGUAAUAAUUAAAUAAAACGUUGCUAAUUUUAUAUUAAAAACUUAGUUAAGGGACGGUCUUUCUUUAUAAAUUUUCUGCACUUUUCAACGUAUUUUUCUUGAACAGCAUCACAUGACAUGAUGCUAUAUAUGAAUAAAGAACGACAAGUUGGGCAGAAUUAUCAAUUGUAUAUCUUUUUUAAAGGGUAAAAGUGGGAUUGGCUGAGAAUCCAAUUUAAUUUUAGUGUUAAUUGAAAAUUCAAUCACAAGUUUUUAUCUUUCCAAAUAUAGUUUAUACUAUAUUUUUAUUAUUAAUUACGGAUAUUGGUGAUGUAGGUGAGCGUGUUAAUAUUUGUUAUUAAGGGUAGUAGCAUUUUAAUUAUUCUAAUAUACAUUUAUUUGUUUAUUGUAAAUGGGGUGAUGAGUUUUAUUUGUUUAUUAUAGGAAAUUUGGCCCCAUUCUUUUAUUUAUAAUUGUUUAUUACUUCUCUGUUCCAUGCGCAAUCAUAUUGCCAUAUUUGUUAAAUUUUAUUUAUACUUUUGCUAAAUAAAUAACUUGAUAGAGGGUUGUGAGAUCCAAACUUAUAUUUAAAAAUCUUUAUUUUGGUUUUUUUUUUUUAAGAGAUAGACAUUGCGCUGUUUGAUGAGCCUGCAUUGUAUUAGGUAGUUGGUCAGGUAAAGGCUGACCAAGCCAAUGAUGCUUAGCUGGUCUUUUCGGAUGAUCAGCCACGCUGGGACUAAGACACAACUCGGACUCCCACGGUGGGCAGCAGUGAGGAAUCUUGGACAAUGGGCGAAAGCCCGAUCCAGCAAUAUCGCGUGAGUGAAGAAGGGCAAGGCUCGCUCGUAAAGCUCUUUCGUCAAGUGCGCGAUCAUGACAGGACUCAAGGAAGAAGCCCUGGCUAACUUCAUGCUAACAGUCGCGGUAAGACUGGAGGGGGGGCAAGUGUUCUUCAGUAUGAUUGGGCUUAAAGGGCACGUAGGCGGUGAAUUGGGUUGAAAGUGAAAGUCGCCAAAAACUGGCGGAAUGCUCUUGAAACCAAUUCACUUGAGUGAGACAGAGGAGAGUGGAAUUUUCAUCUUAUAAAGUUGUAUUAACAUCAAGUUAAAAAGAGCUUGUUGAUUCCGUAUUGAUAGACAUACAGUUGAAAGUAACGAAUUGAUCAUUUGUCGUAUUCGAUCUACCGAAGAAUACAUUGGCAUGUCCAAGUAAGGAGUUAGUUGAAUUUUAUAAAGGGAAAUAACAAUCAGAUCUAAACAACUCGCGCAGUUGAGGCCGUUGGUUCGAGUUGGACCCUUUUAGUUAACAAGGCUACUAGAGAGCUAAAUUGUGGACGCAUGUUUCGUGGUUGUUCAUUCGGUAAGGAUUAGUUGUUGGGCAUUCCGCAAUUAAUUUACACACGGAAAGGUUGACGGUCUGAGGCUUCCUCGAUUCGUAUAACUGGCUUAACGAUUGAAGGAGAAGACUUGUUAUUGAGGAUUGAUUCAAAGUUGAAGCAAAAUCGAGCUUGAAGCUAGAAUUUAAUCAUAUUGGUUUACUUAAUUUAAUUUCGUUUCUACUUAUUUUUACUGUUAUUCAGUUCCAAUAUCUUUAUUAUUUUUACUCUUAUUAGAUUUAAAUUCUCCUUUUUAUUUUUGCAUAGACCGUCGCACCUCAUGGGCACCUAUUUAAUUUUUCCAUCCAUUUUGAGAUGAUUUGACAGAGAAUGUAAGUUCAAACUUCUCCAUCCAUUUUGAGGUAAUUUGACAGAAAAUGCAACUUUAAAGGCUAAAAGAGGAGAAAAAUUAAAUGGAGGGCUAAAAUAACUUUUUCUAUUAAAUUGGAGGACCAAAAGAAUCAUUAUGCCAAAAAAUAAUAAUUUUCUUUUUUGGUCAUUUUCUAGUGCUAUAAUUCAAGAUGGUGUGGAAUUAUUACAUCAGCUAAUCUUAUUAUUAUUAUUAUUAUCAUCGUGGUCAUUAUUGUUUUUAAUAUCAUUAGAGCGAAUGUUAUUGUCCAAACAAGGAUAGCUUAAAUAUAAUUUAUUCAACUUCUUAUAAUAUAUUAGGGCUCCUCUAAAUGCUCAUUUGCCUCCGAUGAGUAGAGUUGAAUAAAAAAAACUAAAAAAUUCAAAAUUGAUCUGGCUCGAGGUGUUUAGAAAAUAUAUAGCAUGCAAGUUAAAAAAUCACAACCGCCCAAAACCAAACCAAAUUCUAUUUUUAAAAAAAUCACUCGGUUGAAGUUAAAUUGAAUAUUUUAUUUCUAUUUGAGUUGGAAUUAAGUUCGUAAUUUAAUUUAACAAGAUAAAAUAAUAUAAUAUAUAUUACUAAACUCAAAUUUAAUUAGAUUGAUAGUUCAAACUCAGUUCAAUAAUCAUCGAAUCGAAUUUAAAAUUUUUUUUAGUUGAAUUCAGUUAACAUAUGAACAUUAAUAUCUUAUUUAAGCCUCUCUCGCCAAUAUAAUUUAGCUUCGAUUUUUUCUUUUUGGUAACUUGGAAACAAUUAUUAUCAUGUCUAUAAUUAUAUAUAAUUAUAAUUCUCACUAUCCAUUACUAUUAUACUAUACUCUUAAUAAUAAUAUUUUUUUAUUGAUGAGUCUUGUUAAUUAUAUUUGUCAUUAAUUUUUUAUACAAUAUUAAGAAUAGGAAUAAAAUAACAUGGUUCGAAUUCGUGUCAAAUAAGUGUAUGAUAAAAGCUUUAGCCAUCGCUCCAUACUAUCAGUGUGGAGCUUUGAUGACGAAAAUCUUGAACACAUGAACAACAAUUUGAACAGAGAAAAGAAGCAAUAGGACAAGGCUCCACUAUCUUUAAGGUUCUAUUCACCCCUUACUCGAUGUGCAAAUGGGUUUCAAAUAAAUGAACCUCGAGGAUACAUAAACCCCAGUGACUAUGUGCGUUUUAUAUUAACGAAAAUAGUCCGCUAAGGACUAAAUAGAGUAUAAUAAGAAAAUCAAUUUUUAUAUAGAACAAUCUAAGAAUGGUAGAAAGAAUUUUUAUAAGAAUUCAAGAGACAUUAACUUUCAAUAGGUGUGUUUUUUUUAAUAAUCAUAUCUUCAAAAGAUACAUAAUUAUUCAAUUAAUAUAUUAAAUAAACAUAACUAUUCAAAUAAUAUUGCUUGAAUAGUUAUAAUUCUUUGUCAGAAAAAUCAAGUGAUAUGUACUUUUUAUAUUUAAUAGAUUUAAUUUAUUAUUAUGAAUAGUUAUAACUCUUGAUCAAUAACCAAAAAAUAUAAUUUCUAAUUAAUUAUACUCUUUUAUUUAUAAUUAUUGGGACAGUAUAAAUAUUUGAUAAUUUUCCAUCACAUACAAGUCAAGACAUAUUUGCUAUUAAUAGUAGUAUUUAAUUUUUCCUUAAAAUAUACAUAUAUUUAUUAGGAAAGGAUCAAAUUUUUUUAUUAAGGAUAAAUAUCAAAUUUAUACAUGAAUUUUGGUUUAAUAUGCAAUUAUCUAUAUGAAACUUGAAUUGUGGUUCAUAUAUAUAUAUAUAUGAAACUUUGAUUUUAAUUCAAUUGUAUAUAUUAUAUUAGAUUAUUAUAAUUAUUUAUAUAUUUAAUAUAUAAAAAAAUAAAAUGAGAGGUUGAUUUGGCAUAUCCCAGGAGAAGUUGCCUACAAAAGAAAAAGUUAAUAUUUUUGGACUUAAUAUCAAGGGUGAUUGCAAAUGUGGCACAGAGAGCUGUUGAGGAGUUGCAUAAUCACUUAUUUUUUGGCUUUAAUUUUGCAAAGAACAUGUGGUCAUAGGGAUGUGUUGUGAUUAGGCUAUCGUGGAGUUGAAUGGGAAAUCAUUACUUAUAUCAUCAUCAAUAUUGCUUGUCGAAACUGCUUUUUUGAAAACAAAAAUUUUAGUUGUCGACUCUAAAAAAUAAAACUGGAGUCGCCACCGAUCCUUUAUUAAGGUGUGAUCGGCCCACCUUAAAAAUAAUUUUAGACUGCGAAAUUUGAGAAAAUAGGUUCGGGAGUCAGUUACGCACAAGGAAGGAUUAGCACCCUCGUAACGCCCAAAAUUGGUACCAAAUUGAUUUUUUUAAUGCCUUGAUGUCGAAAAUUUGAAAAGAUUUUAAAAGGGAACUUUUUAUUUCAUGAAUGAAUCAAAAUAAUAAGACAUUCUUAUUUCAAAGAAAUAAAACACCACACCCAGUGAGUUAGGGCACAAUGUUUCUAAAUCUUCAAAAUACCCGAAUAUUGCCUUUUGUUUCUGAAAAUUCUUAUUUCGAGAAGUCAAAAUAUCAGGACCAGUAAGUUAGGACCCAACAUUUUAAAUCCCCGAGAAUAAGCUUCAUUUGAAAUUUGUGAAUUUAUCGCAAAACGAAUACUUGGCUUUCUAAAUUCAUCAAAAAAUAAUCGCGAUCCAGUAAGUUAGGACACGAUCUUUCACGAGAAUCAUGAAUGCCAAAUAGUUUGGAAUUUAUAAAAUAGGAUGAUUUAAAUACUUUGAGAAAAUCAAAAGAUAUAUUGUUUAAAAGGGAUGCUAAAAAGGGUUAAGGUAUAACAUGAAACGGAUAUUCUAAUUUCAAACAUAUAUGAAUAAAUAUUUACGAAUGUAUAUAUAAUUAGGUAUAAUAUACAAAUAAAUUUACAAAUAUGUGUACGCAUAUAUAUCUAACACACAUAUACAGGAAUACAUGUAAAAAGAAGGAAUGGAAUAAAUCAAAUAAACAAUAUAAAAAAACAUGUAGUGAAAAGAAAAUAAAAGUAUAAAAAUAUGCACAUGUAUAUAUUUACAGAAUAAAAAUGUAUAGUAUAUAGGUCUAUUAUAAAAAUGCGUAUUUUGAACUAUAAAAUAUGAAAAAAACAUGUGUAUUUAAAACAUGUAUGUGUACAUAUACAUGUAUUUGUAAAAAAAAAGUUUAUGAAGGAUAAUAAAAAAAAACAUAUAUACAUAUUACAAAAGUAAAGAAAAAUCUGAAAUUAAAAUAUAAAAAUGAGCAUAUGUAUAGAUAUAGAAACUAAGAAAUAAAAAUAAAAAUAAAAGCAUACGUAUAAAGCAUGUAUGAGUGGACGUACCCUGUAACAUGCAUACAUAUAUACUAUAAAAACCAUGCCAGUAUACUAGAUAAAAAAAAAUUGCACACAUGUAUUAAAUAAAACGAUGCAUGUAUGUUAUAAAAUAAUAAUAAUAAUAAUAUCAAUGAUAGAGUAGUAUAACAAAAAUAAUAAUAGUAAUAAUAAGAAUAGUGAAACAAAUUUUAAAAAAAUUAAAUUGAACUAAAAAAGAAAAAAAAAGUGAAAUUCGAAAUAAAAUAAAACAGGACCAUAUUGAGUGCGCGCGCAAGUGUGGAGGACCAAAAGGGAGAUUAUCUCCUCCUUCCAAAACGCUACGCAGCAAGGGACCAAAUUGAAACAAAAAUAAAAUGUGUGGCCCAAUUUUUUCAAAAUGCAGAGUUGUAAGAUUAAAUUAGAGUUUAUCAUGAGUUGAGUUUAAGUAUAAUAUUAAUUCAUUUUAUAUUUGUUUAAAUUCGGUUUGAGUCAAAAUAUAAGUUUAAAAUUUUACUUUAAGUUCGUCUAAAUUUGUAUAUAGUUAACUCAUGUCAAUUUUAGACCCGCCAUACUAUUUUUAAAAAAAUUAAAAUAUAUUUGAAUUAUUUCUAACUUAAUAUUUAAUAAUUAUGUAUAUAUUUUUAUUGAAAUUUUAUAUAUAGUCAUAUUAACAUUAUAAUAGUACAUAAAUUUAUUUUUUAUUUGUUACAAAUUACAUAACAUAUAAAAAAUAAUGUAAUAUAAAAUAUUGCAAACUAAAAAAUUAGGUCAGCCCAAACUUACAGUUUAAAUGUUCAAUCUCAAGCCCAACCUAUAUUUUAAGCGGACCUUUUUUUUUUUUUUUGCUGGAGCCUAUUUUUUAAACGUAAUAUAUUUAUUUAAACUUUCACAAAUUUUGAACAAGCUUUUGGACUUGACGAAAAACCCUAUCCAUAAACAGAUCUAGACUGAACUAAAUUUACUACAUUCUUUCCCUUUUAUUUCCCUAUUAUUUUGGGUUAAUAGUACAUAUCUAUUAAAACUUUAUUGCUCCUAUAGGGAUGAUUAUAUAUUAAAGUUAGACAAUGAUCGUACAAAGCUAUUUUAUUCACAACCAAGUCAAGAAAUUGUCAAUCCAUACAAUCGUAUGCUUUUUCAAAAUCUACUUUAAAAGAUAGCACCUCCCCUUCUUUGCUUUUUUGAAUAUAGUCCACAACUUCAUUUUCACUAAAGCACAAUCCAGAAUCUAACAAUCUGAAAUAAAAGCAAAAUUGACCUUCAUUGAUGGUCCUGAAUGAAGCUUUGAAUCUAUCUAGUCAAAAAUUUUCGGUAUAGUAAAAAUUUUUAACAUCAAAUAAAUAAUAAAAUAGGGUGGGCAUCAAUAAAUAAAUAAAUAAAAUCUGAAUUUUACUGUAUGGACAAGUCUAUUGAGAAAUUUUUUUAAAAAUGAUAUUUUAGCAUAUAUAUGGGUUAAAGUACUUAGGAAGUCCCUCUAACAUUAAAUGAAUCAAUUUAGUCCAUAUACUAUUAAAAAAAUAUCAAAUAAGUUCAAAUUGUAACGGAGUUAACAUUCACUAUAGCACAUUUAACAUUAACAUAGUUAAAUAUUUUCAAUACAUUUUAGACAAUAAAUGUUAACUUUGUUACAAUUUAACCUUAUUUGAUCUAUUUUAAUAGUAUAGGGACUAAAUUGACCGAGAGGGUUAUUUGAUAAGUCCCUAUAAUACAGGGACUUCUCAAUUCUCAAGUACUUUCAACAUUAUAUAUGUAUUUCAAUCUUAUUUUGGAAUGAAAUUGAACAACUGAAAAAGGUUAGAGUUCAAAAACAUUAUACAGUCCCGAUGAUUGUCACAGAUUUUCAUCUAGUAAUAGUCGUAGAAUAGUUGCCGAUCAAGAAGUUGAAGCAAUUGUUGUGAGAUCUCUAGUGAGUUCAAAAAUUCUCUUCUGAAAAUGGUGGCUAUCAUGUAAUUAGCAGUAUAUUAUUUCAAUUUUGGUGAGAAUUGUAUUCUCACUUAAACGCUUAAUGCCAUUUGCUUAAUACUUUGUGUGUGUGAUCUUUUGAUCUGUUCAUAGACAGAACUUUUCAUGGUGGCUAAGUUUCUUAGGGGAUAAAUUAUUAGUAGUAUUAUUUGUUUCUGCAGUGAAAUUGUGAUGCCUGUAUUUUAAACUGUGAGGUAUUUCCGUAUUUGUUGAUGUAGUGGAGUUUUGGUAGAUUUAAGUGCUCGUUUGCUGUACUAAGUUGAAAUUGAAUGAAUGCUGGCCUCAUCCAAUGUCCAAAACUUGAUGACUUCAACAUUUUGAUGCCUUAAUUUGAGAAGACUAAGUUAGAGUACUAUAAAACUUUCUAAGAAUGCUGAUGAGGCAUAGAUCUAGUGAUCUAAUAUAAUUGCAAUUGAUAGUAUGGUAGUCUAAAUGCUUUAGUAAGAGAGGAAGAUUAUGUCAUGCUACUCCAUUCUCGGUUUAAAUCAGUGCUCUAUAUGAAGAAAGGUUGAUGGGUGUUAGUUCUUUUGAUGUCUUGUCUUUGAUGGAUGUUUGAAAAAUGAUUCAGUUGAUAUUCAUAAUGUCUAUCACUACAGUUUCCCCUUUAUGUAUAAUAUGACUGCUAGUUUGUCGGUCUUCGUAUAUUAUAUUCCUUUUUCUUAUUGUUUUCAACACGAUAACAACUGAGUUACUAGUUAUUUUACUUGAUUUUGUCAUGGCAUUUCAAAGAUGACCUUAAGGACCUCAAAAGCACCAUCUUCACAAUCAAAGAUGUGCUUCUUGAUGUCGAAGAACAAUCCAUGACCAGCACUCUCAUCAAAGAUUGGCUUGAAAAGUUAAAAGAUGCAUUUUAUGAUGGCGAUGAUUGGCUCGAUGAUUUUUGUUGAAGGUUGGUAAGCAUGUAGCAAAGAAGCAGACAACAAGCAGGUCAUGAAGAUUGACCCAUGCAGAAGCUGCUGCAGCAAGCACAACUGUUCCUUUUUUGUUCAUUUUGUAACCUUAAGUUGAUGUAAUGUAUUUUAGUUCAUUUUGAACUAUGUUAGGUUAAUGAAUGAUGUAAUUAGAUGAUGAAUGAGCUGUAAACUCAGCUUUGUCCAUGCUUACAAGUUUUGUUUUUCAAGUUUCAAUGUAUUAGUGGUAGUAGGUAGCAAUUAGGUGACCACAUACCGAUUUUGAUAAGCAAAUUACUUGAUUUAUGUAUUGGCAUUAUGCCAUUGAUCAAAAUGAAUGAAAUCCAUCAGUUUUUUGUUCUAUUACACUUCACUUUCUUUGCUUUCUUUUCUCUUCUUUUCUUUUCAUUUUCUCUCGAUUUCUUUUGUUUCUUCAGCAAGCAUUGAGCCUUGCAGCUCAAGCCAUAAGCUGAACUUGUCUGUUCUUUGUUCCUAACACCAACAAUUUUUCUACUGAAGUUUUGCGGAAAGAUCUACUGAGCAGGAGCAAGCUAAUGAAAGAAGUAUGCCUUUUCUUUUCAAGCUCAAACCAAUUUGCUUAUGGUUCCAAAAUGGGUCAUCAAAUUAAGGCCAGGAUGUUCAACUUGGUAGAGUGUGACCGUCCCAUUAAAACCUAUUUCAUAACUAAGAAGAGGCAGCGAACACACUCUUUUGUGAGUAAAGAUGAAAUAAUAUGGAGGGAAGAUGAUAAAGCAGCUUUUCUAGAACACAUAUUAGAGUUCCAAAGUGAAGAGAAGGUUUAUGUGAUUCCGAUUGUGGAGUUUGGAGGGUUAGGGAUGACUACAUUAGUACAGUUUGCCAAUGAAGUGGUCAAUGAUCAUUUUAAGUUGAGGAUAUGUAAAGAUUCCAAACUGGUCAUCUCGGAAGCGAUCUUAAAUCGGGCAAAUUAGAGAGAUAAAGAAAUUGCAACCCACUCCGGAAGAUGCCGACACUUUGGAAUUUUUGCCUGCGAUAGGGAGCGUAGGUUACAAUGCCAUGGACAGAUCACAACUCCACUUUCUAUAUAGUUUCAAAAAUUACUCGGGGGCAGAAGGCAAUGGGAGCCACAACUCCCCUUACCCCUCCCCCUUCCAAAUUUGGGAAAUUCUCAUUAAGCCUUCAAUUUUUUUGAAAAUUUUAAUUAAACUCCUCAAUCUUUUUAAAAUUUUUGAAAAAUUUAAUUCCACAUUUCGCUACCUUUCGUCUCUGAUAGCUUUAGUUUAUUUGAAUGCUUGGAAUUAGGCUUUCACAUUGUUACAUGGUUGAAAAUUACUUGUAUUUUGAUAACGAAAACAAUGGGAAAAAUAACAAUUAGAUGCUUGGAAUAUUGGCUUGUGCCAUGAUAGGCCUUUAUAAGGUGUUAUUCAACUUGUAAUUUGAUGUGUGCCAACAUAAGCAUCAACAGACAAGUCAUGUAUAUACAGCCAGGACAUCGACAUCUUUUGGAAGCAUCAUAAUUGAACAAUGUGAAAUACCGUCUAAAACAAUUAUUGUCUCAUAAUCAAUUGUGCAUCCCUGCAUUUGAAUACUGUUUGGAACAUUAAAAAUGUGUUUUUUCCUGAGUUGGUACAUAUUAUGCAACAAGGAAAAUAAAGAACACAAUUAAAAUGUUCACGCAGUUCUAAACUCGUCCUACGUCUGCAGGGCUUUGCCCAAAAAUGAAUCCACUAUGAACUUCAUAGUACAAAGAAAUGAUUUAAGCUUAACCCCUCAAACACUUGAUGCAAUCUCACUUUUGUACAAUUAAGUAAAUUCUCUCCCAACUCAUUUUAGCUAUGCAAGUGAAAAUUCACAUUCAACACUCAGAUGGUUUUCCUACUAUGAAUCAAGCUCUUAAUAAGCUCAAUGUAAAGUGGAAUAAUAAAUUUUCAAAUGCAAUAUGUCUGGCAAAUGUCAUGCUUGAACAACGACUCUUCCAAAAGCAUCAAUGAACCUGAAAAUUAUAAAUGCCAACAUAGAAUAUGUUAUAAAUCCCAUUAUUAUCAGCCUUAUAUUUGCACAUAUGUGUGUUUAGUAUAUUGCUGUUGAUAUAUAAAUAAUGAAACAUUUUAUCAACUUCAUCCUCACCACCAAAUAUUCUGAAGCAUCUUCCUUUUUUUCCUGUUUGGACCUUCAAUAACAAAUCUGUUUGGAAUUCCAAACAGCUAAAAGAGUGCCCUGCAUCAACGAAUAUUAUGAAUUUGAAUACCUCCAAAAGCCUGUCAAUAGCAGUGGUACCAUCUAAGAUAGUAAUCAGUUGGCAUAUAUUAAGAGAAAACAUAAAUAUAUAUAAAGAUACAAUAGGUAAGUGCUUAAAUGAAGAAAGCAGAGCAUAUAGUCCAACCAUUUUGAAGGCUUCAUAGGCCUCUCUCUCCACAUCAAUGAUUUUUUAGAAUUAAAUUAGUAGAAGCAAUUGUCAAGUUAUUAUUAUGAUUUAAAAAUAAAAAGCAAAUAGAUAAAUUAGCACCUCUUUUUAUGCAUAUAAAAUGAUUGAAAUUCACUAAUGCCUUUAUCCAAUGCCUUACUGCACAAAUCAGCAAAAAUAUUAUGAAAGAUGAUAAGUAAAAAGUAGGAUGAAAACAAAGGGAUUUUAACAAGGAAAUUAACAGUAUCCAACUUCAAUGAAAAAUGGCAUCAGACCCCUGACUUGGAGAUUCAAUAUACCACUCUUAUUUUUCUUCAAAAAAAGAUAAGGUCAUCAAAAUAAAUAAAUAACAAAGACAGACCAACCUGAUUCACAAAAUGCAGGGGAUGUGAGCAAUCUUUUGCCAAUCAGCGCCAAUGUCCUUCCGACAUCUUUCCUCCAACUGAGGAACUUCAUGUAUGUGUAAAUGCUCCAAACUGGUUAGGCAACGCAUCUCAUCCGGAAGAGAUGUUAAAUUGGGCAAAUAAGAGAGAUGAAGCUCUUGCAGAUUUGUUAGAUGUUGAAGCCACUCCGGAAGAUGUCGACACUUUGCAAUAUUUUCCAGACACAGAGAACGUAGGCUUGUAUGAUCUUGGAAUAUUUGGAUGCCAGCUCCAGAUAACUCCAGCUCCUUACAGUCCUUUACUUCAAACUCUUCAAGGAAAGUGAGAUGUUGGAACACAGGAAGCAGUGACCUCAAUCCAUUGCAGUUCUGAAUUUUUAAUGUUUUCAAUUGAACAAGAUGUUGAAGCCCAAUGGGGAGAGACACCAGCUUUGGAAUAUUAUCAAUCUUCAAAAAAGAGAGAUUCUUAAGGGGUUCCCAUUGCAUGCCCUCUAAAUCAACCUCCUUGCAAUCACUUAUUGUUAAGAAUUUGAGGCUGGUGAGAUGUUGCAGGCACUCAUCUAGCGUGUGAGUGUCCAACCCCUCAAUGUUGUGUACAUGGAAAGAUUUCAAUUUGGAGAGCGGAAGAGAAGAGGUUGAAGUUGAUGGGGCCUUAGCAUUGAUGUUCAUCUUGAUAAUCUGCUUUAACGGCCUUGAACUGGUAUUCGACAACAUUAGAUCUUCAUCGAGUGAUGGAUACAGUGCCAUUAAAGUCAAAGGGCAAUUUUUAAUACCUAAAGAGGAAAGACAAGGAAAUGCCAUGGUUGAUGUUCCCAUAACUGUUGUGUCGUCCUCGUUGGAAUCAUCAUCGAUUGGUUUUGUCGUCCUCCACCAACUCUUCAUAUUCGGACAGUCCCAGAGCCAAAGUUGCUUAAGUGAUGGGAAGAAUGAUUGUGGUUCUCCUUGACUUCCUUUUGGACUAUUAUCAUCGAUUGGUUUUGUCAUCCUCCACCAACUCUUCAUAUUCGGACAGUCCCAGAGCCAAAGAUGCUUAAGUGAUGGGAAGAAUGAUUGUGGUUCUCCUUGACUUCCUUUUGGGCUAUUAUCAUCCAUGUACUCCAGCUUAGUACAACCAUGUAUCUCCAGCCCUUUAAGACAAGGAAAUUGCGCAAAGGAUGGGAUUUGUUUGAAAUUACCCCGAUAUAUUCUCAUAUAAACGAGAUUUGUGAGCAAAGAAAGCCAACUUGGAAACUUGGCAUCACCUCUCCAUCCUACAAUACAGAGCUCCUUGAGAUUAGGAUGGGGCUGGAGGUCUUCAAGUGACUUCUCAUCAUCACCAUUACCACAGGCCCAUGCUAAUUCCAACGAUCUCAAAUGUUGCUUCUCUUUCAAAUUAGCAGCCUUAAACUUCUCUUUUGCAUUUUUUACGGAUCCCAAUUUUGUUAUUUGUAGACGUCCCCUUAAGUUGUUAAGCAGUCUCAAUUCACUUAGAUCUGCACCGCCAUGGGACCCAUCUUUAUCCACUACAAACAUGCUUAACGUCUCAAGUGAAGUCAGCUUCCCUAUUCCACGUGGCAUAUGAGUUAAACUACGACAAGAAUAACACGCGAGAUGGGUAAGAUUCACCAAUUUUUCAAUCUUCUUUGGCAAUUCUUGAAGCCUGCAACACUCAUCAAGUUUCAGCGCUAGCAAAUUCUGAAUCUUGCAAAUACUCUUUGGGAGAAUCUCAAGACCGCUAUUAUAAGAAAGAUCAAGGUACCUCAAAUGUUUCAACUUACAAAUGGAGCGUGAAAUCUUUUGAAUACCUAUAGAAUCCAAUUUCAAUACACGCAAGCUUCUACAAUUUGCAAUUAUCAAAUCCCAAGUUUCAUAGCUGAAAUCUAGACUUAUUUUGUCUUCAAAAUGUAACAAGGUUCGCAACUUCUUUCCCUUAAACAAAGGAAUUAAUGAAGGUUUAAUUGAUAUGUGGCGACAUUUUUCACCAACAUCGCUUGCAAUUUUAUUUGAAUCUACAAUACUACUCUCCAUCCCUGCUACUGAUUCAGCUAGAUCAUGCGUUAAAUCAUGCAUUUUACAUCUCAUUUCUUCCAUCAAGUCUCCUUCUAUAUCUUGAAAGAAACUUCUUUCGACUAAAGCUUUAAAAUACCCAAACCCGAUCUCCUCGAGAGAUUGACUUUGAUUCAAUUGCUUUAUGAAACCCUGUGCAAUCCAAAAUUGAACAAGCGCUUGUACUUUAAUUUUGUAAUCUUUUGGAUACAAUCGGCAAUAAGCAAAGCAAUGCUUCAAAUGAGACGGGAGAUGAUCAUAACUCAAUUUCAGUAUAGGUAGAAUUUCUCCUUCAAUUUGUGAAAUUGUAGCAAGUUCAUUUUCUUUGAAAGAAUGCCACUCAUUUGCAGUUUUCUUCAAAGAUAAUGUACCAGCUAUCGUCCUUAUGGCUAAGGGAACCCCACCACACCUUUCCGAAAUCUGUCUCCCUACUUCCACAAAGGCUGAAUUUGUUGAGUCUGCAUGUCCUUGCUCAAAUGCUAUCUUUUUGAACAAAGACCAAGCAUCAUCAUCAGACAAGCCUUUCAAUUUCAAAACAUGGGAUUGACAUUUAUUAGUUAUCUCCGCUACCCUUAGAGAUCGAGUAGUUACUAUUAUCCUACUCCCUUUAGCCCCACCCACCAAUAACUUCUUUAGCCUAGACCACUUUUCUGGGUCCUCAUUCCAAAUGUCAUCCAAAACAAGCAAAUAUUUUUUCCCAUCAAUUUUAUCUCGAAGUUGUUUUUGCAAUUGAUCCAUUUCAAGAUUUUGAUCAGGUGCAUGAUGAGUCACAGAUUUGAUAAUGUUUGCUACAAUAGCUUUCACAUCAAAAUCAUCUGAAACACACGCAAACAUCGUUAAGUCAAAAUGAUUUUUGACCAUUUCAUGGUUAUAGACAAGUUGGGCCAAAGCAGUCUUCCCUAACCCUCCAAACCCCACAAUUGGAAUGAUAUAAACAUUCUCUUCACUUUGAAACUCCAACACGAGUUUUAGAAGAGCUGCUUUAUCAUCAUCCCUCCCUAUUAUGUCAUCUUCACGCUCAAAAGAGUGCGUUUGCUGCCUCCUUUUAGUCAUGAAAGAGGUUUCCGCGGGGCGAUCACGCGGAAUGAAGCCAAAAGUGUUGGUCUCGCUUUCAAUUGAAGCUAAUCUCGCCUUAAUGGCCUUCAUUUUCCGACCCAUUUUGAGACCAUAAGCAAAUUGGUUUGAGGUUGAGAAGAAAAGGCGUACCUCUUUCGUCAGCUUGUUCCCACCCGAUACAUCUUUCCGCAAAGCUUCAGUAGAGAAAUCAUCGAGCAAGUCGUCGGCAUCAUAAAGUACAUCUUUCAGCUCUUCAAGCCAAACUUUGACGAGAUUGUCGGUCACCGAUUUCUCUUCUGCGUCAAGAAGCACAGCUUUGAUUUGACAGACAGUGCGUUUGAGGUCGUGGAUGUCAUGUUUUAGAUUCCACCACAGCCCAACUUGAGAGAGAGCACGAGAGCUCAACUUAAUAAUGAGCUCUGCGGCAAUGUCGAAAGCAAUUGCUUCGGCCAUUGUUGGUUCAAACUGAAAUCAAUGCAAAAAGUGUUUGAUUCGUGAAAGAGGAGGACUAAUAUGAGAAUGAUUCCAACAAGAUGAAACACAGAUGUGGAUCCAUACACGCGGAGACUGAAGUAUAUUUAUAGAUGUUACCAUCCACCCAGCAAGUAGUAUAAUUAAAUAAAAAGUAAUUUUAAGAGAUUCAUUAAUAUAAUUAUUUGUCUAUGCAAUAUGUCAAAGUAAAAUGUAAGAGGUUGAUUUGGCAUAUCCCAAUAUAUUUUGUUAUAGUUUGGAUGGUCAUUCUUGUCAAGUUACCUAUCAUUGGCAAAGCUUGGUAGAGACUCUUAAAAUGGUAAAUUUUUAAUUUAAACCUUUUAUAAUUUAUAAAAUUUUAAAUUAAUAAUGAUAAAAUUAUAAUUUAAUCCUCUAAAAAUUUAUAAAAAAUUAAUUUAACUCUUUAAAAAUUAUAAAGAUAUACUACUAUAAAAAUAUAUAAUUUAAUUCCGACUAAAAUUUUUUUUAGCUCGGCUACCGUUGCCUAUAAAAGAAAAAUAAAUUUCGUUUUCCACACAAUAUGUGGAGAGAUAUUGGGUUUAUGUCAGCUCCAUGGGAAUGUAUUUUAUUGGAAUUGAAGGAAAAAUCAUUACUUAUACCCUUAUGAAGAUUGCUUCCAAUGCUCAUAUCUAUUUAAUUAUUUUAUUACACAUAAAAUUGUUUAUUGUGAGUUGGAUGCUUUUGGUUUGAUUAUUUAAGAUAUUUUAUUUUUAAAUAUAUUCUUAAUUAUUUAUUUUACAUAUACAUGUAUUUUAACUUAAUAUAUUUAAUAGUGAUUUUGUUUUUUAUAAAAAAAGGACCCAAAGGUACUACCUCAUUUUAAGUUGCAUCAUAAAUUACAAUGUUAUGGAUAUCGCUAGGAUAAUUCAUCCCAAAAGAUAAAUUACAACACUUAGAAAGAGCCCAAUUACAAAGAGAUCGACUAAUUUGUUACAACCACGUUUCACCCAUUUGACCUCGGCGGAAACAAAAGAAUCAAGCAUCUUGUGAGCUCAUUGAUGCAGUGAUCAAGGGUCGUUAUGUCCUCUUUGUGAAAACUAAAGCGGUUGAUAAUGCUAGCACAAUCUGCUUCAAAAAUGACAUUAUCGGCUUCAAAAAAUUGAGCAUGCCGAAAACCAUCAAUGAGGGCAUCUAAUUCUGCUUUAAUAGUGAUUUUUUAUUCUCAUUUUAUCGGUAUAUUUGUUGGAACAUUUUCAAAUAUUUAUAGUGUUCCAAUAACUAUAAAUGAAUUGGUGUAAUUAAUCAAAAGAUUACAUUAUUUGAUUUUUUGAAAAAGAGUUAUAACUAUUUAAAUAAUAUUAUUUGAAUAGAUAUAAAUGAAUAAUUAUGUGUUUAUUUUUAAGACAUUAUUAUUCAGAAAGACACCUAUUGCUGAAGAGACAUGAAAAUUUCUAUAAGUAGAAAUGGGAUUUCAUUUGGAAAACGUACCAAAAAAUUCUAAAUAUUCUUUCUUUCCUUCCUUCAUUUUCUAAUAUUAUUAGAUUAUUCUAUAAAGUAUUACUGCAGAAAUUCUUUGUAGAAAUUGAGUUUUUGAUAUACAUUGCUUAAUGCUUGGUGGACUAUUCUCGUCAGUGCAAAACGCAAAUAGUCAUUGGCUUCAUUGUAUCCUCGAGGUUAAUUUGCUUGAAACUCAUUUGCACACCGAAUAUAGGUGGGGGUGAAUAUAACCUUAAAGAUAGUGGCUUGAUACACGCCUUGGAGCAUUGUCAUUUUUCUUCUUUUUCUGUUCGAGUUCUGUUUGUGUGUUCGAGAUUUUUCUCACUGGAGUUUUGUACUAACAAUUUUAAGGUUAUAAUUCAUGAUGACUACCACAACACAUGAAAGUGGAACACUAAGGGAGUUGGCUUCCAACUUUGUUAAACUUGAUCGGUUUGAUGGUUGUAAUUUUCGACGAUGGUAGAAAAAUAUGCACUUCUUAUUAUCAACUUUGAAGAUUGCUUAUGUUUUGGAUACUCUAAGACCUGAAGAGAAUGAAAACCAAUCUGUUGUUGCAACUUGAGAAAGAUAAAAAUGGGACAAUGCUGACUACAUGUGCAUGGGCCACAUAUUGAAUGGUUUAUCUGAUGGUUUGUUUGACACCUACCAAAACGAGGUCACCGCUAAAGAAUUAUGGGACAAAUUGGAGACAAGAUACAUGACCGAAGAUGGUACAAGUAAGAAAUUUCUUGUCAGUCAUUUCAAUAAUUAUCAAAUGGUUGAUGGUCAUUCUAUUAUGGAACAAUUUCGUGAUAUUGAAAAGAUGUUGAAUCAAUUCAAGCAAUAUGGUAUGAAAAUGGAUGAAAUGAUUGUUGUAUCCUCCAUAAUAGACAAACUUCCUCCAUCUUGGAAAGACUUUAAAAGAAGUCUAAAACAUAAGAAAGAGGAAAUAUCUCUUGAGGCUUUGGCAAAUCAUCUUCGUAUUGAAGAAGAGUAUAGAAAACAAGAUCAAAACCUAAAUUCAGAAAUUGCCAAAGUGCAUGUUACGGAGGAAGUACAGACUACUAAACCAUUCAAGAGAAAGUUUAAACAGACUGAUAGAGCACCAAAGUUCAAAAAGAAACAAAAGGGCUCAUGCUAUCAUUGUGGAAAGCCCGAACAUUUCAAGAAUGAAUGUCGAUUUUUAAAGAAGAAAUCAUCUUUUAAGGCUGAUAAUAACGAAAAAUUCGUUGCAAUGAUAUCUGAAAUUAAUAUGGCACAACAUGAAAGUACAUGGUGGAUUGAUACCGGAGCAACCAAACAUGUGUGCAAAGACAAAAGCAUGUUCACAAAGUUCACACAAUGAAAAAAUGACAAUGUCUUGUACAUGAGAAAUUCUUCCACCGCAGCAAUCAAAGGCAAAGAGUCUGUUGAACUACAAUUCACUUCUGGAAAGGUUUUAACCUUAAAUGAUGUAUAUUAUGUACCAGAAGUUUGAAAUAAUUUAGUGUCUGGAAGUCUGUUGAAUAAGUUUGGUUUCAAACUUGUUUUUGAGGCAGAUAAGUUUAUUUUGUCUAAGGGACGAAUUUUUGUGGGGAAAGGGUAUAUGUAUGAGAGCAUGUUCAAACUCAAUAUUAUUAAUAAAAAUAAAAAUACUAUUUCUACUUAUAUGGUUGAAUUUUUUUGUUUGUGGCAUUAUAGAUUAGGUCAUUUGAAUUAUAGAAAAUUGAAUGACAUGUAUAAGUUAGAUUUAAUUCCUAUUUUUAAUAAUAACAUUGAAAAAUGCAAUACAUGUAUGUUGACUAAAAUUACAAGAAACCCUUUCCCUAAGGUUAAAAGGAAAACAAAAUUGCUUGAUUUGAUACAUAGUGAUUUAUGUGACAUGCAUAAUACUCCUACAUUAGGUGGAAAGAAAUAUUUUGUUACUUUUAUUGAUGAUUGUUCUAGAUAUUGUUAUGUAUAUUUAUUGCAUUCAAUAGAUGAAGCGCUUAAUAAAUUUAAAGUUUAUAAAUCUGAAGUUGAACUUCAGUGUGAGUCAUUUAUCAAGUGCUUAAGAUUAGAUAGAGGUGAAGAAUAUUAUAAUCCAAGUUAUUUUGAAUCCACUGGAAUUGUCCAUCAAGUUUUAGCCCCUUACACACCACAACAAAAUGGUGUAGCUGAAAGGAAAAAUAGAAUCUUAACUGAAAUGGUAAAUUCAAUGUUAUCAUAUUCAGGUAUUGGACAAGGUUUUAGGGCGAAACUGUUCUAACAACUUGUCAUAUAUUGAAUAAAGUUCCUAAUAAGGAAACUAAAAUAACCCCCUAUGAACCAUGGAAGAAAAUGAAACCAAACCUUAAUUAUUUGAAGGUUUUGGGUUGUAGAGCUAUUGUAAAAGUUCCAACACCUAAACGUAAAAAGUUAGGUGAAAGAGGAAUUGAAUGCAUAUUUAUAGGUUAUGCACAUAAUAGCAAGGCAUAUAGGUUCAUGGUAAUUGAACCAAAUGAUUCAAUUUCAAUUAAUAAUGUUAUUGAAUCAAGAUAUGCUAUUUUUGAUGAAAAUAGAUUUAAUUCUAUAUCAAGACAAUUACAGCCACAACAAUUGAUUCAUUCUUCAAAUGAGAAUGAGAUUCCAUUGGAACAAAUUGAUAAUAAUAAUGAAUCUUGUCAAGAAUUAAGAAGAAGUAAGAGAAUUAAAAAAUGUCAAAGAUUUUGGACCAAAUUUUAUUAUGUUUCUUGUAAAAGGAAAAGGUGAAAGUAUAUGCAAUAAGAUACCUUAUUGUUAUAAUACAGAAUCUGAUCCUAUUACAUUUGAAGAGGCAAUGAAAUCUCAAGACUCUGCUUUUUGGAAAGAAGCAAUAAAUGAUGAGAUGGAUUCAAUAAUGGGAAAUCAAACUUGGAUCUUAGUUGAUCUUUCACCAGGUUCCAAACUAAUAGGUUGUAAAUGGAUCUUCAAAAAGAAAAUGAAGGUUGAUGGAACCAUUGAUAAAUUUAAAGCAAGGUUGGUAGCCAAAGGUUUUAUACAAAAUCAAUGUAUUGAUUACUUUGAUACCUAUGCUCCAGUAGCAAGAAUUGCUACAAUUAGACUCUUAAUAUCACUUACCUCUAUAUAUAAUUUAGUUUUUCACCAAAUGGAUGUUAAAAUUGUAUUUUUAAAUGGUGAAUUAGAAGAGGAAGUGUACAUGGAGUAACAGGAAGGAUUUAUUGUUCCAGGACAAGAGCAUAAGGUAUGUAAGCUUGUUAAAUCUUUAUAUGGGCUUAAACAAGCACCAAAACAAUGGCACCAAAAGUUUGACAAGGUUGUUUUAGCUAAUGGCUAUAAAAUAAAUGAAUCUGAUAAGUGCAUAUAUAGCAAAUUUGAAAAUGGAAAAGGUGUCAUAAUUUGCUUAUAUGUAGAUGACAUGCUCAUUUUUUGCACGGAUUUGGAACAAAUAGAAAACACAAAGAAAUUCUUGUCAAACAACUUUGCUAUGAAGGAUAUGAGUGUAGCAGAUGUUAUUCUUGGGAUUAAAAUAACCCGAGAUGAAAGCACUAUAGCUUUAUCACAAUCACAUUACAUUGAAAAUGUGCUUAAAAAGUUUGAUCUUUUCAACUGUAUACCAGCAUCUACACCCAUGGAUCCUCAAAUAAAAUUAGUAUCUAAUGCUAGUAGGAAAAUUGAUCAAUUGAAAUAUGCAAGUCUAAUUGGUUGUCUUAUGUACAUAAUGACUUGUACAAGACCAGAUAUUUCAUAUGUUGUUGGAAAAUUGAGUAGGUACACAAGUAAUCCAAGUAGUUUGCAUUAGCAAGCUUUGAAUAGAGUACUUAAGUACUUAAAGAAAACUAUUAACUAUGGAUUGUGUUAUAACAGAUAUCCUCCAGUUUUAGAAGGUUAUUCGGAUGCUAGUUAGAUUACAAGUUUGGAAGAUCAUGCAUCUACUAGUGGAUGGAUCUUCAUUCUUGGUAGAUAAGCCAUUUCUUGGGGUUCCAAGAAACAAACAUGUAUUACUGAUUCCACCAUGGCAGCAGAAUUUAUUGCAUUAGCUGCUGCAUCUAAAGAAGCAGAAUGGUUAAGAAAUUUUCUUUAUAAUGUACCUUUAUGGCCUAAGCAAAUUUCACCUAUUUCUAUACGUUGUGAUAGUGAGGCUACUCUAGCAAAGGCAUAUAGCCAAGUAUAUAAUGGAAAGUCUAGACACAUUGGAUUAAGACAUAGUUAUGUCCGAUAAUUAAUCUCUGAUGGAGUGAUCACUAUUAAUUAUGUGAGGUCAAGUGAAAAUUUGGCAGAUCCUUUGACAAAAAGUCUUGCUAGAGAUAUAAUAAAAAGGACCUCAAAAGGGAUGGAACUCAAGCCCAUUAAUUAGAGUCACCCAUGAUGGAAACUCAAAUCAAUGCUUGGUAUAACGUCAAGUCUUGAGUUCAAUGAGACAAAGUACAUCAUUAGUAUGUGACUGUUAGCACUAUAAAUAAAUCCAUCCUAAGAUUAAAGUGCUAGGUAUCCAUAAUGAUAAGGAAAGGAUGAAUAAUGUACUCUUAAUGGACCCAUAACAGAAAUAUGUUAGAGUGUUAUAAUUACGGGAACACUCUUGAUGGGAUCUACCUAUGUGAGUGGAAGUGCGGCCGCUUCUAGGAGCUUAAGGGUUUGACUCUGACAGCACUCAUGAAAAGAGGACACAGACAUAUGGCCAUAAUAGUGUCUCUAGAUACUAUGCAUUGGCCGAUGUUGAAAUCAUUGUACGAGAUGUGUUCAGUUAAUCAAAUGGAAUAGUUGGUUCAAAGCUUUGUCUACCGUGCAUUUUUUAUUAACUUUAACAUAUAUUCACUAAGUGAAGGUUCAAUUGUAAGAUACAUUCAUUUAUGCAAAUUGAUUUCCAAGAAUAUCAAAAUCUAAAAUAUUUUGAAAAUGGGGGGGGAGAUUGUUGGAGCAUUUUCAAAUAUUUAUAGUGUUCCAAUAACUAUAAAUGAAUGGGUAUAAUUAAUCAAAAGAUUAUAUUAUUUGAUUUUUUGAAAAAGAGUUAUAACUAUUUAAAUAAUAUUAUUUGAAUAGUUAUAAAUGAAUAAUUAUGUGUUUAUUUUUAAGACAUUAUUAUUCAGAAAGACACCUAUUGAUGAAAGAUGUCUCUAUGAAGAGACAUGAAAAUUCCUAUAAAUAGGAAUGAGAUUUCAUUUGGAAAACAUACCAAAAAAUUUCAAAUAUUCUUUCUUUCCUUCCUUCAUUUUCUAAUAUUAUUAGAUUAUUCUAUAAAGUAUUACUGCAGAAAUUCUUUGUAGAAAUUGAGUUUUUGAUAUACAUUGAUUAGUGCGUAGUGGACUAUUCUCGUCAGUGCAAAACGCAAAUAGUCAUUGGCUUCAUUGUAUCCUCGAGGUUAAUUUGCUUGGAACUCAUUUGCACAUCAAAGAUAGGUGGGGGCGAAUAUAACCUUAAAGAUAGUGGCUUAAUACACACCUUGGAGCAUUGUCCUUUUUCUUCUUUUUUUGUUCGAGUUCUGUUCGUGUGUUUGAGAUUUUUCUCACCGGAGUUUUGUACUAACAAUAUUUACAUUUGAAUUCAAAUACAUAUUCUACAAUUAACUUUAAUCUCACUGUUACAAUACUUAACCUCACUAAAUUACUUGUUUAACAUGAUUAUCGUGAAUUUAUAGAAAGAACAAUCACGAAGCAAAUGCAGAUGCACUUAUGUUUAAAGUGUUUUUAAUUGAAAUUUUAUUAUUUUGAAAAAUAAAAGUAUAAUAACUUUUUUGGCAUUCCAACUUUAUAAAAGAAUUAUUUUAGCUCUUUAUUUAUUUUCCUUCUUUUUUAGUCUUUGAACUUACAUUUUUUUUGUCAAACCAUCCAAAAUGGGUAAAAAAGUUAACGUUUGUUAACUUUGUUGACAUGACAUAUAGGUGGAUUACCACGAGUAUGUCACAUUAGCAAUUAAUUAUUUUUAAAAAUAUCAAAAAAAAUAUUUUCUUAUUAUUUUUUAAUUUUUUUAAUGUUUAAAAUAUUUUUUAAAUGUUUUAAAAUUUUAAAAAAUAAUUAAUUGCUUAUGUGGCAUAUACAUGGAAAUCCGCGUGUAUGUCACAUCAGUAAAAUCAACAGACGUUAAAUUUUCACUCAUUUUGGAGUGAUUUAACAAAAAUUACAAGUUUAAGAACUAAAAGAAACGAAAAAUUAAAUGAUAAGUUGAAAUAACUUUUUCCGUAAAGUUAGAGACCAAAAGAAUCAUUAUGGCAAAAAAUAGUUGUUUUUCUUCUCUUUUCUUCUUUUCUUUUUGGUAUCUUUUAGUGCUAAAAUUCAAGAUGGUGUGGAAUAGUUUCUAAUCUUAUUAUUGUUAUAUAUGUUUUCGAUCUCAUUAGAGCUAUAAUCUUAUUGUCUAUAUAAAGAGAGCCUAAAUAUAAUUUGUUUAGCUUCUAUUAAACAUGUUAGUGCUCCUUUGUAUGAUCAUUUUCCUCCCGUGAGUAGGGUUGAGUAAAUAAAAUAAAAUAAUUGAAAAUCGAUCCAAAUCAAGGUGUUUAGACGGUUUAUGGAAUACAAAUUAAAAAAUCACAAUUAUCCGAAACCGAACAAAAUUCUAUUCUUUAUUUAACUUAUAAAUAAUUUUUUUAUAACAUAAAAAAUCUUUUAUAUUGAAAAAUAGUGAAAAUAAAUAUAUAUAUAUAUAUAUAUUUUAAAAAUAUUAUAUAAAAGUAUUUGAUUAUUUUUAUUUACUUAAAAAAAUUUUAAAAAUAUCUAUGAAAAUAACUUUGAAAAUUUGUCAAAUGAUAAUUAAAAGCCGUAAAAUAAAGUUAAUUUUAUUAAAAUAAUUAUAAAAUUUUAUAAUAAAAAAUCGAACUAAACUAAAUUAUAAUGGAUGGAUAAAAAAAUGCAAUCGAAUUAAACUAAUAUCACUUAAUUUUAUUGCACCAAACUGGACAUAAAAGAUUUUCUUAAAAAAUUUAACCUGCAAUGAGACUGUUUUUCUCACUAAAACCUUCUAGAGCGUGCAAUGUCCUCGCCAAGUAAGUAAAUUCAAUAGAGGUUGGAGGCUAAAGGUUGAUACAUAAAAGAAGGGGAGGGGCAUAGUUCUGCUUCAAACAAAACCCCAAAUUUAGCAUCUUGAGUUGUUAAAAUAAGUAAAUUCACCAUACUUUUCCGUUAGAUUUUGGCUCUCUUCUUCAGCAGAAUGUAGCGUACAGUACAAGAAGCAGGGACCAUCCUUUCUACCAUGAUUUGUUUAUCCGCCCACAUAUUCCAACAAAACGAAUAUGGUAAUAAAUGUCAUCAAUUUCCUUCUAAUUUCCAAUGGAUCUGAUAUAAAUGGUGUAACUAUAUUCAAGAGUACUUGUAUAAUAUAUAUGCCCAACUGAGUACUAGAUGGAAUCUAUGCUGUUGACGGACUCUUGGAGGCAUGUUCGAGAGAGCUUAAACACAUUUAUAUUUUUCAGUGUUCCAUACAAUAUUCUAAUGAGUGUCAAAUUCAUUAAAAAUGAUGUAAAAAAUAAUAUAAGGAGUAGGGUCAAUCCACAGAAAUUGAGAUAUCAACAUUUGUUGUUUGCUUCAACCAAGUUGCACGUCUAGAUUCCUAUCCUGCCCACGAGGUGUGACUGUCUGUGCAAAAAUAAAAAGAAAAAUUCUAAUGUAAUAAAAGUAAAAAUAAUAAAGAUAAAAAUAAGCAAAAAGGAAAUUAAAUUAAAUAAACUAAUAUGAUGGAAUUCAAGCUUUAAGCUCGAUUUUGUUCCAAUUUCAAACCAAUGCACGAUAACAAGUCUUCUCCUUCAACCGAUAAGCCAGUUAUAGUGAUCGAGGAUGCCUCAGACCACUAACCCUUCCAUAUGUAAAUUAAUUACGAGAACGCCCAACAAUUAAUCCUUAUCGAACGAACAACCACAAAACACGCAUCCACGAUUUAGCUCUCUGGUAGCCUUGUGAGCUAAAAGGGUCCAUCUCGAACCAACAACGUCAAUUACGUGAGUCGUUUAGAUCCGAUUGCUAACUUCUUAGUUGGACACGCUAAUGUGUUCUUCGGAAGAUCAAAUACGACAAAUGCUCAAUCCGGUACUUCCAAUUGUACGUCUAUCAACACCGAAUCAAUGAGCUAUUUUUAACAUUGUGUCAACACAACUUUGUGAGAUGCCAAUAUCUAUCUCCUAAAUCAGAGAAACAACAAAUACCGAAAUAAAAGUUUUUAAGUAUAAAUUUAGAUCUCACAGCUGUCUACUGGAUUAUUUAUUUAGCUACUAAUGAAAAUAUAUGAAAUAAAAGUAUAAAUAAAAUUUAAAAAAUAUGGAAAUAGGAUUGCGCAUGGAAGAGAGAAGUGAUAAACAAGUAUGAAUAAAAGAGGGCAAAUUUUCCAAUAAUAAAGAAAAAAAAAUCAUCACCCUUUAAAAAAGAGUGGGCCAAUCUCACUUUUACCCUUUAAAAAAUAUAUACAAUAAUGUUGCAAUUGAUAAUUCUGCCCAACUUGUCGUUCUUUAUUCAUAUAUAGCAUCAUGUCAUGUGGUGCUAUUCAAGAAAAAUACAUUGAAAGCUGCAGAAAAUUUAUAAAGAAAGGCCGUCCGUUAACAAAGUUUUUAAUAAAAAAUUAGUAACUUUUUAUUUAAUUAUUACUUAGUGGGUGGAUGGUGACAUCUUUAAAAUACAAUAUUGACUCUACGGGUGAUGUAUGUAUGUAUUAACGCUUGUAUUUUCAUCUUGUUCGAAUCAUUUCACUCUUCCUCCUGCAAUAAUCAAACACUUUUUGCGUGCCAUCAAUGGCUGAAGCAUUGCUUUCGAUAUUGCUGGAGAGCUCAUUACUAAGUUGAUCUCGCGAGCUCCCUCUCAGGUUGGAGUAUGGUGGAAUUUCAAAGAUAACCUCGAUGACUUCAAACAUUGUUGCUGUCAUAUCUGAAUGGGCUGAUCUAUGAAAAUUAAAUUAACUCUGAUACUACUUAAUUGUUAGGAUCAAUCCAAUUAAGCAAUAAGUAAAUAAAAUAGCGGAAUAAAUUGAGAAAUUGAACACAUAAAUUUAACGUGGAAAAAUCCCUUUAAAGAGGAUUAAAAACCACGAACAAAUAUAAUUUUACUAUAAUGGUAAAAGAACGAAGAGCAUAAAAGAUGGAGAUAAAAACUAAACCCCGAAAACACGAAAACAAAGAACCCUAAAAACGUAAACACAAAAUUCUCUAAAUGUGUUAUGAGUCUUAUUAUUAAUUAUUGGUAUCGUUGAUGUAGCUGAGCGUGUUAAUAUUUGUUGUUAGUGGUAGUAACAUUUUAAUUAUUUUAUUCUACAUUUAUUUGUUUAUUGUAAGUGGGUUGAUGAUUUUUAUUUGUUUAUUUUUGGAAAUUUUGUUUCAUUCUUUUGUUCCAUGUCAUGUUGGAAAAAGAGUUUGAAUAAACAUGUUUGGAGUAUUAGGGUUGUAUAAUCUAAAUUUUAAGAGAUUGUUGGUAAGUCAAGUAAAAAAAAUAUUUUUUAGAAAAUUUAAUAUUUAUUAAUAUAAUAUAUAUGUUUAGCAUUUAUUAGCAUAAUAUAUUUGAGAUUGAUUAGAAUUAAAUUUUUUUUAACCUAUAAAUAGAUGUAGUUGAAACUCCUAUCGUAUGAUUUGAAUUCAAACAAUUAAUGCAAUAACCAUAUAAAAUGGCGUUGGUUUGGCUACCCCUUUGAUGUUUUGGCUUCGUUUUGGUGUUUGUUUUGGGGGUUGUGUCUCUUUGGGUUAGUUUUCAAUAUAUGCGUGCUGAUGAUGCAAUGAAUAAAGAAAUCAAAAGUUAUGCAGAAAUUUCAAUUCUGGAUGGCGCUGCAAUUAUAUUAUUAAGAGUAGUAGCAUUUUAUUUAUUAUUAACAUAUAUUUGUUUAUUGGAUACGUGUGUUGAUGAUGCAGUGAAUAAAGAAAUCAAAAGUUGUGCAGAAAUUUCAAUUUUGGAUGGCGCUGUAAUUAUAUUACUCAGAGUAGUAGCAUUUUAUGUUUCUUUUAGAUGUACAUAUAUUUAUUAGGAAAGGGUUGAAGUUUUUUAUUUGUUUAUUAUUAGGGUUAAAUAUCAAAUUUAUACCUUAGUUUUGGUUCAAUUGUAUAAUUUGAUACAUGAAUUUUGAUUUGGUGCAAUUAUCUACAUGAAACUUGAAUUCUGGUUCAUAUAUAUAUAAAACUUUGAUCUUGAUAUAAUUGUACGCAUUAAAGAAAUGAAUACCUAUAUUUAUUUUCACAUUGGAUUAAUAUAAUAGUAGCGACCUAAAAUUUUUGCGAGUUAGUUAAGGUCGUUACGAAAGGAAAUCUUGGGUUGACGAUUAUUGAAAAUUCGGAAAAGGUCUCAAUUUUACUUAAAAAGAGACGAGUCGCCACCGGUCCUUUUUCUAAGUGAGAUCAGACACCUACUAAAUUCUCUUUUUAAAAGAAAAUUUAUUUUUAAAAUUCUCUUUAAAAAAAGUCGAUUUUAGGUCUGCGUCAAAAUCCAAAGAAAAUUAGAGUUCGGGAGUCUGUUAUGCACAAAGAAGGUAUUAACACCCUCGUGGCGCCCAAAAUCGAUAUCCCAUUAAACGCGUGUUGUCUUAAAUUUUAAAAAUACGAAUUCAAUUUAAUAUUUAAUCAUGAUUCGAUUGAAAAAUGAGAAUUUUGAUAAAUCACAUAUUAUUGUAUUGUAUAUAUUUUAGAAUGAAAUACUGAUAAUUUACGAAUAAAAAUAAAGAUUUUAUUUUUAAUGAGAGAAUUUUUAAAUUUUUUAAUUUUUAGAAGGGCGUUCCGUAUUUAACAAAAAUCAAUGAUAUCCACCCAACAUAGCAGUGAAAUCAAUGACUUAAUGCUAAAUCGGUUCGUUGACUUAGGUAUUGAAAUUAUUUAAAUUAAAAAUUGUAAAUGAAAUAUUUCUAAAAGGCUGUUUAAAAAUGCUAAUUUAAUUAAAAUGAAACAAUAUUUAAAUACAUGGACUAAAUAAAUAAAUACAUGCACUUAUGUUGUGAGAUAUCUAGUGAGUUCAAAAAUUCUCUUCUGAAAAUGGUGGCUAUCAUGUAAUUAGUAGUAUAUUAUUUCAAUUUUGGUGAGAAUUGUAUUCUCACUUAAACGCUUAAUGCCAUUUGCUUAAUUUUUUGUGUGUGUGAUCGUUUGAUCUGUUCAUAAACAGAACUUUUCAUGGUGGCUAAGUUUCUUAGGGGAUAAAUUAUUAGUAGCAUUAUUUGUUUCUGCAGUGAAAUUGUGAUGCCUGUAUUUUAAACUGUGAGGUAUUUCCGUAUUUGAUGAUGUAGUGGAGUUUUGGUAGAUUAAAGUGCUCGUUUGCUGUACUAAGUUGAAAUUGAAUGAAUGCUGGCCUCAUCCAACGCCCAAAACUUGAUGACUUCAACAUUUUUAUGCCUUAAUUCGAGAAGACUAAGUUAGAGUACUAUAAAACUUUCUCAGAAUGCUGAUGAGGCAAAGAUCUAGUGAUCUAAUAUAAUUGCAAUUCAUAGUAUGGUAGUUUAAAUGCUUUGGUAAGAGAGGAAGAUUAUGUCAUGCUACUCCAUUCUCGGUUUAAAUUGGUGCUCUAUAUGAAGAAAGGUUGAUUGUUGUUAGUUCUUUUGAUGUUUUAUCUUUGAUGGAUGUUUGAGAAAUGAUUCAGUUGAUUUUCAUAAUGUCUAUCACUACAGUUUCCAUCUUAUGCGUAAUAUGACUGCUAGUUUAUCGGUCUUCGUAUAUUAUAUUCCUUUUUCUUACUGUUUUCAACACGAAAACAAGUGAGUUACUAGUUAUUUUACUUGAUUUUGUCAUGGCAUUUCAAAGAUGACCUCGAGGACGUCAAAAGCACCAUCUCCACAAUCAAAGCUGCGCUUCUUGAUGCCGAAGAACAAUCCAUGACCAGCACUCUUGUCAAAGAUUGGCUUGAAAAGUUGAAAGAUGCAUUUUAUGAUGCCGAUGAUUGGCUCGAUGAUUUUUCUACUGAAGCUUUGCAGAAAGAUCUACUGAGCAGGAACAAGCUAAUGAAAGAAGUAUGCCUUUUCUUUUCAAGCUCAAACCAAUUUGCUUAUGGUGCCAAAAUGGGUCAUCAAAUUAAGGCCAGGAUGUUCAACUUGGUAGAGUGUGACCGUCCCAUUAAAACCUCUUUCAUAACUAAGAAGAGGCAGCGAACACACUCUUUUAUGAGUAAAGAUGAAAUAAUAGGGAGGGAAGAUGAUAAAGCAGCUUUUCUAGAACACAUAUUAGAGUUCCAAAGUGAAGAGAAUGUUUAUGUGAUUCCGAUUGUGGAGUUUGGAGGGUUAGGGAUGACUACAUUGGCACAGUUUGUCAAUAAAGUGGUCAAUGAUCAUUUUGAGUUGAGGAUAUGUAAAGAUUCCAAACUGGUCAUCUCGGAAGCGAUCUUAAAUUGGACAAAUCAGAGAGAUAAAGAAAUUGCAACCUCAAGAUGAAUACACUAUGAACUUCAUAAAGAAAUUGCAACCACAAGAUGAAUACACUAUGAACUUCAUAGUACAAAGAAAUGAUUUAACCUCAACCCCUCAAACACUUAACGCAAUCUCACUUUUGUACAAUUAAGUAAAUUCUCUCCCAACUCAUUCUAGCUAUGCAAGUGAAAAUUCACAUUCAACACUCAAAUGGUUUUCCUACUAUGAAUCAAGCUCUUAAUAAGCUCCAUGUAAAGUGGAAUCAUAAAUUUUCAAAGGCAAUAUGUCUGGCAAUUGUCAUGCUUGAACAACGACUCUUCCAAAAGCAUCAAUGAACCUGAAAAUUAUAAAUCCCAACAUAGAAUAUGUUACAAAUCCCAUUAUUAUCAGCCUUAUAUUUGCACAUAUGUGUGUUUGGUAUAAUGCUGUUGAUAUAUAAAUAAUGAAACAUUUUAUCAACUUCAACCUCACCACCAAAUAUUCCGAAGCAUCUUCCUUUUCUUCCUGUUUGGACCUUCAGUAACAAAUUUGGCUGGAAUUCUAAACAGCUAAAAGAGUGCCCUGCAUCAAUGAAUAUUAUCAAUUUGAAUACCUCCAAAAGCUUGUCAAUAGCACAGGUACCAUCUAAGAUAGUAAUCAGUUGGCAUAUAUUAAGAGAAAACAUAAAUAUAUAUAAAGAUAUGAUAGGUAAGUGCUUAAAUGAAGAAAGCAGAGCAUAUAGUACAACCAUUUUGAAGGCUUCAUAGGCCUCUCUUUCCACAUCAAUGAUUUUUUAGAAUUAAAUUAUUAGAAGCAAUUGUCAAGUUAUUAUUAUGAUUUAAAAGUAAAAAGAAAAUAGAUAAAUUAGCACCUCUUUUUAUGCAUAUAAAAUGAUUGAAGUUCACUAAUGCCUUUCUCCAAUGCCUUACUGCACAAAUCACCAAAAAUAUUAUGAAAGAUGAUAAGUAAAAAGUAGGAUUAAAACAUAGGGAUUUUAACAAGGAAAUUAAUAGUAUACAACUUCAAUGAAAAAUGGCAUCGGACCCCUGACUUGGAGAUUCAAUAUACAACUCUUAUUUUUCUUCAAAAAAAGAUAAAUAAAUAAAUAACAAAGACAGACCAACCUGAUCCAACCGAAUGUUGGGGAUGUGAGCAAUCUUUUGCCAAUCAGCGCCGAUGUCCUUCCGACAUCUUUCCUCCAACUGAGGAAUUUCUCCUAUUUGUAAAUACUACAAACUGGUCAGGCAACGCAUCUCGUCCGGAAGAGAUGUUAAAUUGGGCAAAUUAAUGAGAUAAAGCCCUUGCAGAUUUGUUAGAUGUUGAAGCAACUCCGGAAGAUGCCGACACUUUGGAAUAUUUUGCAGCCAUAGAGAGCGUAGGCUUGUAUGAUCUAGGAAUAUUUGGAUGCCAGCUCCAGAUAACUCCAGCUCCUUGCAGUCCUUUACUUCAAACCGUUCAAGGAAAGUGAGGUGUUGGAACACAGGAAGCAGUGACCUCAAUCCAUUGCAAUUAUGAAUUUUUAAUGUUUUCAAUUGAACAAGAUGUUGAAGCCAAAUGGGGAGAGACACCAGCUUUGGAAUAUUAUCAAUCUCCAAAUGAGAGAGAUUCUUAAGGGGUUCCCAUUGCAUGGCCUCUAAAUCAACCUCCUUGCAAUCCUCUAUUGUUAAUGUUUUGAGGCUGAUGAGAUGUUGCAGGCACUCAUCUAGCGUGUGAGUGUCCAACCCCUCAAUGUUGUGUACAUAGAAAGAUUUCAAUUUGGAGAGAGGCAGAGAAGAGGUUGAAGUUGAUGGGGACAUACUAGUGAUUUUCAUCUUCAAUGUCUGCUUUAACGGCCUUGAACUGGAAUUCCUCAACUCUAGCUUACCAUCGAGUGAUGGAUACAGUGGCAUUAAAGUCAAAGGGCAAUUUUGAAUUGUUAAAGAGGAAAGACAAGGAAAUGCCAUGGUUGAUGUUCCCAUAACUGUUGUGUCAUCCUCGUUGGAAUCAUCAUCGAUUGGUUUUGUCGUCCUCCACCAACUCUUCAUAUUCGGACAGUCCCCGAGCGAAAGAUGCUUAAGUGAUGGGAAGAAUGAUUGUGGUUCUCCUUGACUUCCUUUUGGGCUAUUAUCAUCCAUGUACUCCAGCUUCGUACAAUCAUGUAUCUCCAGCCCUUUAAGACAAGGAAAUUGCGCAAAGGACUGGAUUUGUUUGAAAUUAACCCCAUCUAUUGUCAUAUAAACGAGAUUUGUGAGCAAAGGAAGCCAACUUGGAAACUUGGCAUCACCCCUCCAUCCUCGAAUGCAGAGCUCCUUGAGAUUAGGAUGGGGUUGGAGGUCUUCAAGUGAUUUAUCAUCACCACCACCACCACCAUCAUCAUACCAUUCUAAAGCCAACGAGCUCAAAUGUUGCUUCUCUUUCAAAUUAGCAGCCUUAAACUUCUCUUUUGCAUUUUUUACGAAUCCCAAAUUUGUUAUUUGUAGAUGUCCCCUUAAGUUGUUAAGCAAUCUCAAUUCACUUAGAUCUGCACCGCCAUGGGACCCAUCUUUAUCCACUACAGACAUGCUUAACGUCUCAAGUGAAGCCAGCUUCCCUAUUCCACGUGGCAUAUGAGUUAAACUAUGACAAGAAUAACACGCAAGAUGGGUAAGAUUCACCAAUUUUUCAAUCUUCUUUGGCAAUUCUUUAAGCCAAGUACACCAGUCAAGUUUCAGCGCUAGCAAAUUCUGAAUCUUGCAAAUACUCUUUGGGAGAAUCUUAAGAUCGCGAUUAUAAGAAAGAUCAAGGUACCUCAAAUGUUUUAACUUACAAAUGGAGGGUGAAAUCUUUUGAAUACAUAUAGAAUUCAAUUUCAAUACACACAAGCAUCUACAAUUUGCAAUUAUCAAAUCCCAAGUUUCAUAGCUGAAAUCUUCACUUAUUCUGUCUUGAAAAUGUAACAAGGUUCGCAACUUCUUUCCCUUAAACAAAGGAAAUAAUGAAGGUUUAAUUGAUAUGUGGCGACAUUUUUCACCAACAUCACUUGCAAUUUUAUUUGAAUCUACAAUACUACUCUCCAUCCCUGCUACUGAUUCAGCUAGAUCAUGCAUUUUACAUGUUAGCCCUUCCCAUAAAUAUCUUUCUCCUUGUACAUCUUGAAAGAAACUUCUUUCAACUAAAUCUUUAAAAUACCCAAACCCGAUCUCCUCCAGAGAUUGACUUUGAUUCAUUGCUUUAUGAAACCCUAUGCAAUCCAAAAUUGAACAAGCGCUUGUACUUUAAUUUUGUUAUCUUUUGGAUACAAUCGGCAAUAAGCAAAGCAAUGCUUCAAAUGAGACGGGAGAUGAUCAUAACUCAAUUUCAGUAUAGGUAGAAGUUCUCCUUCAAUUUGUGAUAUUUUAGCUAGUUCAUUUUCUUUGAAAGAAUGCCACUCAUUUGCAGUUUUCUUCAAAGAUAAUGUACCAGCUAUCGUCCUUAUGGCUAAGGGAACCCCACCACACCUUUCCGAAAUCUGUCUCCCUACUUCCACAAAGGCUGAAUUUGUUGAGUCUGCAUAUCCUUGCUCAAAUGCUAUCUUUUUGAACAAAGACCAAGCAUCAUCAUCAGACAAGCCUUUCAAUUUCAAAACACGGGAUUGACACUUAUUAGUUAUCUCCGCUACCCUUAGAGAUCGAGUAGUUACUAUUAUCCUACUCCCUUUAGCCCCACCCAUCAAUAACUUCUUUAGCCUAGACCACUUUUCUGGGUCCUCAUUCCAAAUGUCAUCCAAAACAAUCAAAUAUUUUUUCCCAUCAAUUUUAUCUCGAAGUUGUUUUUGCAAUUGAUCCAUUUCAAGAUUUUGAUCUGGUGCUUGAUGAGUGACAGAUUUGAUAAUGUUUGCUACAAUAACUUUCACAUCAAAAUCAUCUGAAACGCACGCAAACAUCGUUAAGUCAAAAUGAUUUUUGACCAUUUCAUGAUUAUAGACAAGUUGGGCCAAAGCAGUCUUCCCUAACCCUCCAAACCCCACAAUUGGAAUGAUAUAAACAUUCUCUUCACUUUGAAACUCCAACACGAGUUUUAGAAGAGCUGCUUUAUCAUCAUCCCUCCCUAUUAUGUCAUCUUCAAGCUCAAAAGAGUGCGUUUGCUGCCUCCUUUUAGUCAUGAAAGAGGUUUCCGCGGGGCGAUCACGCGGAAUGAAGCGAAAAGUGUUGGCCUCACUUUCAAUUGAAGCUAAUCUCGCCUUAAUGGCCUUCAUUUUCCGACCCAUUUUGAGACCAUAAGCAAAUUGGUUUGAGGUUGAGAAGAAAAGGCGUACCUCUUUCGUCAGCUUGUUCCCAUCCGAUGCAUCUUUCCGCAAAGCUUCAGUAGAGAAAUCAUCGAGCAAGUCGUCGGCAUCAUAAAGUACAUCUUUCAGCUCUUCAAGCCAAACUUUGACGAGAUUGUCGGUCACCGAUUUCUCUUCUGCGUCAAGAAGCACAGCUUUUAUUGUACGGACAGUGAGUUUGAGGUCGUCGAGGUCAUGUUUGAGAUUCCUCCACAGUCCAACUUGAGAGAGAGCACGAGAGCUCAACUUAGUAAUAAGCUCUAGGGCGAGGUCGAAUGCAAUUGCUUCGGCCAUUGCUGGUUCAAACAGAAAUCAUGCAAGAGGAGGAGUAAAAUAAGAAUGAUGAAACGUAUGCGAGCCAUUAGCAAUUGAUUAUUUAAAAAAAAAAUUAAAAUAGUUUUUUAUAAUUUUUAAAAUAGUUUUUAAUAGGUGUAUAUUUUUUAAAAUUUUUAUAUUUAAAACAUUAAUUAAUUGCUAAUGUAGCAUUCAUGUCAAUAAAGCUAAUAAAUAUUAAUUUUUUUUGAAUUAAUAAUACAUUUAUUAAAACUUUAUUGCUUUUAUUGGAAUGAUUAUAUAUUAAAGUUUGACAAUGAAUGUACAAAGCUAUUUUAUUCAUAACCAAGUCAAAAUAUUGUCACCCCACACAAUUGUAUACUUUUUCAAAAUCUACUUUAAAAGACAGCACCUCUCCUUCUUUAUGUCUUUGAAUAUAGUCCACAACUUCGUUUUUACUGGAGCACGAUCCAGGAUUUACCAAUCUGAAAUAAAAGUAAAAUUAAAUUUUAUCGAUAGUUUUGAGCCGAGCUUCGAAUCUAUAUAGUCAAAAUUUUUCAAUGGGGUUAGUGGACUUUACUUCAGUUUAAUUGAAAAUAGCUCACAAGGUUCAAAUUGAACAUAUAUAGACAUCUCUUCUCCCCUUGCUUGAGUUGUUGAACUAAACUAACUUUCUUCAUAUAAUAUUAAUUUUACCCAAAAGUUUCCUUUUCAACGAAAAAAAAAUUCCUAAAAUACAAAAGUUAAUGAAAGAUAAAGAAGACAUUGGAUCUAGGUUAAGUUGUUUUGUAAAAAGCUGAAAGUGCAGGGCAUCCAUAUUUGUAUCCUCAACAUUUGGUAACUGAUGGGAGCUAUGCUAAACAUUCAACCAAUCAUUAGGUACUGAAACGUUUUCAUUAAAUGAUAGUCUUACAUAAUGUACACAAGACUGCCUGAUAAUUAGUUGUGUUUCCAUGUGUUGGAUUAUUAUUUGAAACGCCGAAAGAGAAAAUUGUUUUUUUUUUUUUUAAAGAUGACACACAAAAGUAAAAAUAAAGGAGAAUAAAGAACACAACCAAGAUGUUUAUGCCCAACCCACCAAACUUGGUGCAACCUCACCUUUGUACAAUUAAGUAAACACUCUUCCAACUUAAGUGAAAAUCAACACUCAUAAGGUGGCACUCAAAUAAUAGUUACUCACCAAGUGUUCCUUUAAGUCCACAAAUCAUCUAUAUAUAUAAGCUCCAAGAUCAGCUGAUGAAGAAUGCUUACAGAUCGACUCUUCAACAAAGAAAAAAAGAAAAAGAAAGAACAAAUGUGCAUAGAGAGGAGGAUUUCAUGGGAGCACAAUGCAUGGACAGAUCAGCUGAUGAAGAAUGCAUGUCCUGCUUUUUGGCUCUUCCAUUGAACUCAUGCUGAAAAAGAAGCAGCUUAGUUACGAGGUUACAUUAGAUCAUUUGAAAUUAUGAGAUUAUUAUAAUUUUAAAAAUGUAAAGCAAUUAAGUAAUUACCACCUAUUUGUCUGCAUCUAAAUUCUUAAAGUUGUCAAAUGCCUUUAAGAAAAAUACAUGCCAAUCGAAUAUGUGGGCAGAUAAACAAAUGAGGGUAGAAAGUACGAUCUCUGCUUUUUGUAUUGCAAGCUAUGCUCUGCCAAAGAAUAGAGCCACAAGCUAACAAAAAUGAAGGGUAAAAAGAUCAAAAAUUUCAAGAUAAAAUAUAAAAUUGUAUGUACAUAUGAUUAAGAUUUAAAUUAGGAAAAUGAACAAAGCAGAGCAUGAAGUAGAAGCAUAUUGAAGGCUGGCAUGCAAGCAUUUUGGAAAAUGUCCAUUGGGUACCAAUAAAGAUUUUUUAGAAUUAAAGUAUUAGAAGCUAUGAAAUGAUAGAUAUGAACCACCAAAAUGCUUCACACUAAAUCUAAAUUAUUCAAUUUUGUUUUAUUGAAUCAAAUAGAAAAUAAAUGAGUGGCAUGAAUUACCUGUCAUUCCUUGUUGGUAUUUGGUGUAAGCUGCAAUUUCAAAUGUGUAUUUCAUCAGAUCAUUGCGAUGGUGAGAUUAAUAUAAUUUAAAAGCGUAAAGCAUUUAGCUAGAUUACCACUUUUUUUUUCUGCAUUUGAAUUCUUGAAAUUGCCAAAUUCGUUUCACUAGAAGUCUUCGAUGCUUACUGCACAAAAUAGCCAAAUAAAAUGAUAAAUGAAGAAAUUGCACCCAAAGCUUGUUCUAUUUUGACAAAAGAGGCGGUAGUUGGAGAGUCAAUGUACCAACCUGUAGCGAUAUGAGCAAUCUUAUGCCAAUCGGCACCAAUCCCCUUCCGACAUCUUUCCUCCAACUGAGGAAUUCGUUUCAUAAAGAACUCUUCCAAACUGGUUCUCGUCCGGAAGCGAUGUUAAAUUAGGCAAAUCAGAGAGAAUAAGCCUUGGAAGAUGGCGACACUUUGGAAUCUUUGCCAGCGCUAGAGAGCGCAGGCUUGUAUGAUCUUGGAAUAUUUGGAAGUUAGGUGCAGAUAACUCCAGCUCCUUGCAGUUACUUAUUGAAAACUCUUCAAGGAAAGAGAGAUGUUGGAACACAGGAAAGAGUGUCCUCAAUCCAUGGCAUUCAUGAAUUCCCAAUGUUUUCAAUCGAAAAAGAUGUUGAAGCCCAAGGGGGAGAGACACCAGCUUUGGAAUAUUACCAAUCACCAACCAAGAGGUUCCCGUUGCAUGCCCUCUAAAUCAACCUCCUUGCAAUCUCCUAUUGUCAGUUUUUUGAGGCCGGUGAAAACAGAUUAAUGGAAUCCAUGUAGUUUUCAAAGGUGAAUAAAGUAAAAUAAAGUAAAAUAAAAACUAAAAAUAGACUUGGACACUUUAUGUUAAAUUUAUAAUAAGUUUAAGGGCUAAAAUAAUCAAACUAUUGUCUAACACAUGCUAUGAAAAAGAAAUCACGGUUAAAAGAAUAUUGUAUGCUUCAAUGAAAGUCACAAUUUAUCUUUGAUCAUGCUUGUUCGCAACUAAGCCACUAUAAUGUAACUACAUGUUCCUACAAACCUCGCUCUAGUCGACUUUGCCCUAUGAUCCAUUAGUCAAGGGUAUUUAUCCCAUCUCCAAAGUCAUGGGAUUGAUUUGUCGGUUUUGCCUUUUUUAUACUUUAGGUAAAUGUGUACGAAGUGUGUGAGUUCCAAGCUGUGUGUCAUUUGCUUUUCUUUUUUCUUUUUUUUUUUGUGUGUGUGAUCUUUUGAUCUGUUCACAAAUAGAGCUUUUCAUGGUGGCUAAGUUUCUUAGGGGAUAAAUUAUGAGUAGCAUUAUUUGUUUCUGCAGUGAAAUUGUGAUGUCUGUAUUUUAAUGUGUGAGGUAUUUCCAUUUGUUUCUUAGGGAUGCAGUGAAAUGCGUGGGAUGUGAGCAAUUUUAUGCCAACCAGCGCCAAUGUCCUUCCAACUGAGGAAUUUGUCUCAUAAUCAAUUGUGCAUCCUUGCAUUUGAAUACUGUUUGGAACAUUAAAAAUGUGUUUUUUCCUGAGUUGGUACAUAUUAUGCAACAAGGAAUAUAAAGAACAAAAUUAAUAUGUUUACGCAGUUUGGAACUCAUCUUACGUAUGCGGGGCUUUGCCCAAAGAUGAAUCCAAUAUGAACUUCAAUAAAGAAAUGAUUUAAGCUUAACCCCUCAAACACUUGAUGCAAAUUCUCUCCCAACUCAUUUUAGCUAUGCAAGUGAAAUUCACAUUCAACACUCAAAUGGUUUUUCUAUUAUGAAUCAAGCUCUUAAUAAGCUCCAUGUAAAGUGGAAUCAUAAAUUUUGAAAUGCAAUAUGUCUGGCAAUUGUCAUGCUUGAACAACGACUCUUCCAAAAGCAUCAAUGAACCUGAAAAUUAUAAAUGCCAACAUAGAAUACGUUACAAAUCCCAUUAUUAUCAGCCUUAUAUUUGCACUUAUGUGUGUUUAGUAUAAUGCUGUUGAUAUAUAAAUAAUGAAACAUUUUAUCAACUUCAACCUCACCUCCAAAUAUUCUGAAGCAUCCUCCUUUUUUUCCUGUUUGGACCUUCAAUAACAAAUUUGGCUGGAAUUCCAAACAGUUAAAAGAGUGCCCUGCGUCAAUGAAUAUUAUGAAUUUGAGUACCUCCAAAAGCCUGUCAAUAGCAUAGGUGCCAUCUAAGAUAGCAAUCAGUUGGCAUACAUGAAGAGAAAACAUAAAGAUAUAUAAAGAUAUGAUAGGUAAGUGCUUAAAUGAAGAAAGCAGAGCAUAUAGUACAACCAUUUUGAAGGCUUCAUAGGCCACUCUCUCCACAUCAAUGAUUUUUUAGAAUUAAAUUAUUAGAAGCAAAUAGAUAAAUUAGCACCUCUUUUUAUGUAUAUAAAAUGAUUGAAGUUCACUAAUGCCUUUCUCCAAUGCCUUACUGCACAAAUCAGCAAAAAAUAUUAUGAAAGAUGAUAAGUAAAAAGUAGGAUUAAAACAAGGGAUUUUAACAAGGAAAUUAACAGUAUCCAACUUCAAUGAAAAAUGGCAUCAGACCCCUGACUUGGAGAUUCAAUAUACCACUUAUUUUUCUUCAAAAACAGAUAAGGUCAUCAAAAUAAAUAAAUAACAAAGACGGACCAACCUGAUACAACACAAUGUUGGGGACGUGAGCAAUCUUUUGCCAAUCAGCGCCAAUGUCCUUCCGACAUCUUUCCUCCAACUGAGGAAUUUCUCGUAUGUGUAAAUACUCCAAACUGGUUAGGCAACGCAUCUCGUCCAGAAGAGAUGUUAAAUUGGGCAAAUUUACGAGAUAAAGCCGUUGCAGAUUUGUUAGAUGUUGAAGCCAAUCCGGAAGAUGCCGACACUUUGGAAUAUUUUGCAGCCGUAGAGAGUGUAAGCUUGUAUGAUCUUGGAAUAUUUGGAUGCCAGCUCCAGAUAACUCCAGCUCCUUGCAGUCCUCUACUUCAAACUCUUCAAGGAAAGUGAGAUGUUGGAACACAGGAAACAGUGACCUCAAUCCAUUGCAGUUAUGAAUUUUUAAUCUUUUCAAUUGAACAAGAUGUUGAAGCCCAAUGGGGAGAGACACCAGCUUUGGAAUAUUAUCAAUCUUCAAAUGAGAGAGAUUCUUAAGGGGUUCCCAUUGCAUGCCCUCUAAAUCAACCUCCUUGCAGUCCUUUACUUCAAACUCUUCAAGGAAAGUGAGAUGUUGGAACACAGGAAGCAGCGACCUCAAUCCAUUGCAGUUAUGAAUUUUUAAUGUUUUCAAUUGAAGAAGAUGUUGAAGCCCAAUGGGGAGAGACACCAGCGUUGGAAUAUUAUCAAUCUCCAAAUGAGAGAGAUUCUUAAGGGGUUCCCAUUGCAUGCCCUCUAAAUCAACCUCCUUGCAGUCCUUUACUUCAAACUCUUCAAGGAAAGUGAGAUGUUGGAACACAGGAAGCAGCGACCUCAAUCCAUUGCAGUUAUGAAUUUUUAAUGUUUUCAAUUGAAGAAGAUGUUGAAGCCCAAUGGGGAGAGACACCAGCUUUGGAAUAUUAUCAAUCUCCAAAUGAGAGAGAUUCUUAAGGGGUUCCCAUUGCAUGCCCUCUAAAUCAACCUCCUUGCAAUCUCUUAUUGUUAAACUUUUGAGGCUGGUGAGAUGUUGCAGGCACUCAUAUAGCGUGUGAGUGUCCAACCCCUCAAUGGUGUGUACAUGGAAAGAUUUCAAUUUGGAGAGUGGAAGAGAAGAGGUUGAAGUUGAUGGGGCCUUAGCGUUGAUGUUCAUCUUGAUAGUCUGCUUUAACGGCCUUGAACUGGUAUUCAACAAUAUUAGAUCUUCAUCGAGUGAUGGAUACAGUGGCAUUAAAGUCAAAGGGCAAUUUUGAAUCCAUAAAGAGGAAAGACAAGGAAAUGCCAUGGUUGAUGUUCCCAUAACUGUUGUGUCGUCCUGGUUGGAAUCAUCAUUGAUUGGUUUUGUCAUCCUCCACCAACUCUUCAUAUGCAGGCAUUGACUGAGCCGAAGAUGCUUAAGUGAUGGGAAGAAUGAUUGUGGUUCUCCUUGACUUCCUUUUAGGCUAUUAUCAUCUAUGUACUCCAGCUUAGUACAAAAGCUAAUAUCCAGCAGUUCAAGACGGGGCAAUUGAGCAAAGGACGGGAAAUAUUUGAAAUUACCACCACUUAUGAAAAUUUUGACGAGAUUUGUGAGAAAAGAAAUCCAACUUGGAAACUUGGCAUCACCCCUCCAUCCUCCAAUACAGAGCUGCUUGAGAUUAGGAUGGGGCUGGAGGUCUUCAAGUGACUUCUCAUCAUCAUGGUUACCACCGCCCCAUUCUAAACCCAACCAUCUCAAAUGUUGCUUCUCAUUCAAAUUAGCAGCCUUAAACUUCUCUUUUGCAUUUUUUACGAAUCCCAAAUUUGUUAUUGUUAGGCGUCCCCUUAAGUUGUUAAGCAGUCUCAAUUCACUUAGAUCUGCACCGCCAUGGGACCCAUCUUUAUCCACUACAAACAUGCUUAACGUCUCAAGUGAAGUCAGCUUCCCUAUUCCACGUGGCAUAUGAGUUAAUCUAUCACAAAAAUAACACGCAAGAUGGGUAAGAUUCACCAAUUUUUCAAUCUUCUUUGGCAAUUCUUUAAGCCUAUGACAGCUGUCAAGUUUCAGCGCUAGCAAAUUCUGAAUCUUGCAAAUACUCUCUGGGAGAAUCUUAAUAUUGUAAUUGGCAGAAAGAUCAAGGUACCUCAAAUGUUUCAACUUGUAAAUGGAGGGUGAAAUCAUCUGAAUACCUAACCACCGAAAAUCCAAUACACGCAAGCAUCUACAAUUUGUAAUUACAAAUUCCCAAGUUUCUUCGCUCAAAUGUGCAGAAAAUUUGUUUGGAUAUCGUAACAAGGUUCGCAACUUCUUUCCCUUAAACAAAGGAAUUAAUGAAGGAUUAAUUGAUAUGUGGCGACAUUUUUCACCACCAUCACUUGCAAUGUUAUUUGAAUCUACAAUACUACUCUCCAUCCCUGCUACUGAUUCAGCUAGAUCAUGCAUUAAAUCAUGCAUUUUACAUCUCAUAUCCCCAAUUCCAUAUUCUUCUACCUCUUGAAAGAAACUUCUUUCAACUAAAUCUUUAAAAUAUCCAAAUCCGAUCUCCUCAAGAGAUUGACUUGGAUUCAAUUGCUUUACAAAACCUUGUGCAAUCCAAAAUUGAACAAGUGUUCGUACAUCAAUUUCAUGAUCUUUUGGAUAUAGUCGACAAUAAGCAAAACAAUGCUUCAAAUGGGAUGAGAGAUGAUCAUAACUCAACUUAAGUGUAGGUAAUAUCUCACCUUCGUUCUGAGAUAUUCUAGCAAGUUCCUUAUCUUUAAAAGAAAGCCACUCACUUUUAGUUUCUUUGAAAGAUAACGUACCAGCUAUCGUCCUUAUGACUAAGGGAACCCCACAACACCUUUCCAGAAUCAGCUUUCCUAUUUCCACAAAGCCUGAAUCUGUUGAGUCUGCCGAUCUUUGUUCAAAUGCUAUCUCUUUGAACAAAGACCAAGCAUCAUUAUCAGACAAGCCUUUCAGAACAUAAGGCUGACAUUUACUAGUAAUCUUUGCUACUCCCAAAGAGCGAGUAGUUACUAUUAUCCUACUUCCUUUAGCCCCACCUACUAAUAACUCUUUUAAACUAACCCAAUUUUCCCACUUUUCAUUCCAAAUGUCAUCCAAAACAAGCAAAUACUUUUUCCCACCAAUUUUUUCCCGAAGUUGUUUUUGCAAUUGGUCCAUUUCGAGAUUUUGAUCUGGUGCUUGGCCUGUUGCAGAUUUGAUCAUGUUUUCUACAAUUAUUUUGACAUCAAAAACAUCUGAAACACACACCCACAUCAUCAACUCAAAAUGAUUUUUGACCAUUUCAUCAUUAUAGACAAAC
rnacentral:lncRNA from 1 species